UUGUGUUUUGUAACUCUAAAAUUGUUGUGCAUUGUUAUAUGUUUAAUGAAAUAAUAUUUGUGUCUGCUACUUUGAAAUUCAAUAUUUUGAUUUCUUUUCAUAUUCUUGUAGGGCAUUUUUUCAAUUUCUAAUAAACAUAUCUUGCAUGUUAAAAAACUAAGGGCCUGUUUGGCAUCACAUCCAAUUUUCAAUUUUCAGUAAUUUUUUUUACAAAAACACAGAAAUCGGGCAGGAUUGGUGUUUUACAACCCAGUUUGUAUUUUGUCUUUUGAGAACUCUCUCGGUGUAUAGAAAUUGUGGAAGUUAAAAAUCUAAUUUCAAAAGCUUUUGAAAACCAAAACUGCUCGUGAGCACCACCAUCGUCACUGCCACCACCACUUCUGCUGCCACCCGUUGUAGCUGCCCAACACCAUCCAUCAGCCACUUCCCCCACCGCUUGCCGACCACCACAACAGCUGUCACCACCACCAUCGCCACCGCCACAUCCACCACCAAACACAACCCAAAUGACAAUGGACAGGUUUUGGGUUUUGAGCUCGAAAAAAAGAAGAAGUAGAAAUUUGGUUUUAGUUAGUAAAAUAUGAAAAUUGGGAGUAAUGCCAAACACUGCUUAAGUUACAUACAGAUAUAGAAAUUUCAGAACAUAAAGGAGAUAACUUGGGAUUGUGGAUUUUGCAUAGUUGCAUAAGUGGGCAUAUUAUUUUAAAUAAAAUAACACCCUAGAUAUUAAUGCAAACCUUCGAGGAACAUAUUUAUGCACUUUAUUAUCUUCUUUCAAACAUACAUUAGUUUCCUUGGACUCCUGAUCCACAUUUGCAUGCUUGACACAUCAGGUUUUGUUACUGUCUUACUGACAAAUUUCUUCCUUUACCAUGGAUUAUGUUAUGCUUGUAAUUUUAAGAUUAUAUACACUACUAGGUCUACUUCUUGGAAUAUAAACUAUUCUGUGGGAGUGGUUUUGUUAUAUGUUAUGAAGUUUACAUCUGUAUCACUAUAAACUAUGGAGUAAACAUUGGUUCUCAGCAGUUCAGGACCGGAUUAUUCCUGGUCAUUUUACAUCUUUGCUUAUUAUCCUAGGACAGAUUUGAAUGUUAUGCUAUGUACAUGUUUCCCUUCCCUGGUUUGUAUGGCAUAUCUCUCUUCCCUGGUUUUAUGGGCAUAGAGCUGACUAUUAUUAAUUGUAUUCUGCUGGAGCUUGGCCAUGUAGAUGUACCCCAUAUGAUGAGUAGCCUUGGCGUGCUCCUACCUCACUCUGGAACCAGGUUGGGGAAAAAAACUAUUCCUAUCUAUUAAGCCCUUCUUUAUAUAUGUAAUUGUUGGUGGAAUAUUUAUGUUAUUGGAAAUAACCUAUCCUUGUUGAGACCACCCUUUGUUGGCCUGAAUGCUUGAUUAGUUCUUGUUUGAUCCCUUUUUGAUAAACUGCUUGCUUGCACAAUCUAUUCUCUUUAAAAUAUCAUUUUCAGGUGAACCGACCACCUUUGUAUACUCAUGCAGAGGACAAUAUGCUUUCUGCACCUAGCGACAAUGUGUUGGCUGUUGCAGGAUCGAGACCAGGAAAUGAACUGGCUACUGUUCCUCAGUCUCUUCAAGCUCCCAGGUCCAGGUGGAAAGCAGCGGACCUCCAGUCUUGAGUCGUCCAUAAUGCUGCUCACAGAUCACCAGGGUGCUGUAUACACCAUGAAGUUCAACCCAGCAGGAACUGUGACAGCAUCUGGAUCCCAUGACAGAGAUAUCUUCUUGAGAGGACACAAGAAUGCAGUUCUGGACCUCCAGUGGACCACCGAUGGAACCCAAUUAAUCUCAGCAAGCCUUGACAAGACUCUUAGUGUGAGGACCUGUGAGGACGUGCAUUUAGUCCCACAUUGGUUAUUCACCAAAAAAAUCUUGGGUACUUGUAUAGGACUAAAAAGUCAAAAAAAAAUACCUUUCGACUGACCAUUUUGGGUGAGGUCCUACAUUGUUAUAAAUGGUAUCAGAGCGAACUCGGCCCAUAACCUAUGUAGACUAGGGGACGCUACAAUAUGGGUUCAUGGAAGCUAACCAUAGGCCGAUCAUGAUACUUAUGAUUAGAGUUAAACUUUUAGCCUAUCGAGGAUAUCAAGACUUGAACGGAGGGAUCCAUGCGAGCGUGUGUUUAGUCCCACAUCGGUUAUUCGCUGAGAAGAUCUUAAACGAGGACGUUGGGGGCUUACAUAGGGGAGCAUGUGAGAACUAUGCAGGUGUGCGUUUAGUCCCACAUCGGUUAUUCACCGCUGGCCUUUUUGGGUGAGGUCCAAUGUGACAUUUAGAGCAUGUUUGUGAACUCAUGCUGCCCUUCACGCAGAGGUCCAACCCUUGUUGUGAGUGGCUCCAAUGAUGGGACAGCCAAACUCUGGAUCUUCGUAUGAGAGGUGCAAUCCGGACAUUUCCAGACGAGUAUCAGAUCACUGCUGUCAGUUUCUCAGAUGCAGCAGAUGAGAUCUUUUCCUGCGGGUUAGACAAUGAUGUGAAGGUGUGGGAUCUUCGCAGAAAUCAGGCGAUAACGACUCUCCAGGGCCAGGGGGGCAUAAUAACAGAAGGCUGCUAAAUUUAGCAGUGGUGGGUGUAGCUUCUGUAUGGUUUGAUGAUGAUAUAGUGCAAAGAAAUUAGUGAUGGGUGUAGUUUUUAUAUGGUUUGAUGAUGAUAUAGCAAAAAGAAACUAGCAGCAACAACAGUUGCUUUACAGUUUGAUCAAUUGUUCCAUCUAAAUCACACGGUAAUCUGAUAUUUUGAGAAUGGCAGUGUAUGUCAAAAACAACAGAACAACUGCUAAAUUUAUGUUCAUGUUUUUUUUUCUCUUUAAACUUUUGCUUUGCAGACAGGAUUUCAUUGAUGGGUCACCUGUCGCUGUUAACUUAUGUUACACUUACCACAUUCUUGAUCCAUCUUGCUCAAUGUCAGUGAUGCAGGUUUUGUAUUGUUAUAUCUCUUUCUUCAACUUGUGUUGGGUGGCGCAUGUCUAAGCUACUGCUUUGCUGCUGUCCUAUUUUCUGCUAUUGCUUUUGUUCUUCACCGGAGAGCAGUGAGUAGAUUUAAUUCUUCAGUAAUCAUUUCUAUAACUAUAAUAUUUUAAUUAUGUUUACUGGAUAAUUUUCCUAUUUUGUACGUUAUGGAGCAGAUCGAAGCCUGGUGUCCAUCAAGUUUGAUUGUCUGUGAGACACAAAACAAGUCACUAAGCCCCCUUUGAUGCUCUCUGUGCUUCAGUAUACGUAAAUUCAGUGAUCUACAACUGUUAAGAGGCUUUUGGGCUUAUUGACCAUAUGGCUCAAUCCUUUGAUGGACUGCACCUAAACCUACUCACGCCUGUACAAUUACACCAGUGGCAUGACUAUGCUUAGGGGUGUAAGUGGAUUACCUAAUAUCCAUAUGGAUAGAAAUUGGAGUACCUGACUAACACUAUAGCAAAAUUCGAAAAAGCCAACUCAUCAUUGCUGAUGCUAGGGAGAUGCGUUGGUAAAUUUGGUUCCCGCGCCAAAUUUUGCCGACGCUCGGGAACCAAAUUUACCGACGCAUCUAAUGAGUGUCAGCAAUCUGAAAGAACAUAUAUUGUCAAGCAUCGUCGGAGGUCUCAAGCUAAGCCAACGUUGUCAAGCGCUGGGAGUCGGCUUGUGACGAUGCUUUUAAGCGUCGUUGUUGUCCUCCAGUCUAAAACGAUGCUUAUAAGCGUCAUCGAAGGUCGAGACCUAAGACGACGCUUAUAAGCAUCGUCGUAGGCCAACUCUCCAAAUCAAACCCAGCGCCUGAUCCGGAGUCCUUAUUCUGCCCUAGCUAGCCUCCUUUUUCUCCUUUCCGAUGCUGAGAAGCUCUAGCCCCUAUUUUUCUCCUCUCCAGCACCGACUGACCGACCCCAUUCCUCUCCGCUCGAGGUAUUUUUCUCUUCCUCCCUCCUUCUUGCUUGUUCUCCUCCUUUUUUUUUAUGUGUUUGUGGGUGUUUUUUUCUUCGUUAAUUUGUGAUUUACGCACGCUAUUUCUAGUUUCUAGCUUCACCUUCGCCCUAGGAUCUUUUCCUCCUCCCUCCUCUCCGGCACCAACCGACCAGUCCUGAAACCUCGAUCGAGCUUUGCGUCUGUCCAAGAUCUUCUCUUCCUCUCUCUUUUCCAGCAUCGACCGGUCCGAAGCAACAAUCGAUCGAGGUCCACCUCUGCCCGAGAUAUUGCACUAUGCUCUUAACUCUUACCACAAAAUUAGAAUGUCACAUUGUGCCAUUAGAACUAUUAAUUUAGAUACGAUUGGGAUAUGGAUCUAUUACCGAUUUGAACUGGCAAGGGAUGUAGUCCAGAAUCUAGUACGAGACUAUUAGGAAAUGUGAGAUCUAACUUCAAGUUAGGUCAUCUUCAUAACCAAUAGGAAGGCCGAUGAAUGCAUUUCCUAAAACAUCUUUUUAUAUAAUAAUUAGGUGUGACUGUUUCACUCUUUACUUUAUGACAAGAGAUUCCUACUUUUAUGAAUCGCAAACUAUGCUUUCCAGCAUAAGAAAAACAUUGUUUAUAUAACGAAAAAUAGUACUGUUGUUACUAUGCUGAUUUGGAAACCCGAGUUCAUCCAUGGACUGAUUCGGAACUAGAGCAGAGUGGAUGGCUGCUGAACUUUUUUUUUUGGCUACCAUGGUAGCAAGAUAGGAUUAGGUUGGAGCCUGCAGGGUUAGGUGGGCACUGUAUUCCCGCAUGGACAAAUGAGGUUCUGGAGUGGUGUGAUGGAAGGAUAUCUAUGAUCACUGACUUGGAAUUGGAGCCUCCAAGACUCCAACCACGUUCAUAUAGAUCUGCUCCAGAUGACGGAUGAUUAACGUGCUCAAAAUCUUAGGACUGUAGGAUUAAUGACCCUUCCAAUACCUCCAGUUUUUUUCUUCACUCUCUCUUCCAUACUUUAUUCUAAAGUUGAAACUUUGCUUCACCUCGCGAACAGGAUAUCAUGUGAAUCAGAUGGCCGGAGGCAUCCACGAACCCCAUAAGUUGCUUUUAGAAUAUAUUUUCAUUUGUUGAUGGCAACAAAGGAAAAUCAUAAGGAAACAUGGUGGAGCGAGUUGCUGGUUAUCCUGCCAAGUGAAUGUCACCUUUCUGGUCAUAAAAUCCAUAUACUAUGCAUUGAGAUGGGUGCUCUAAGCCCUAUAUCGCUUAAUAAUAUUAUGAUUCAGUAGUUUCAUUUUGUCUUGUUUUACUUGUUGAUGCUAAGCAUUUUACUUGGAUACUUUUUAAAUUAAUAUAAUAAUUCAGACGUUUGAUGUAAUACUUUAUGUGGACAUUAACAUUGAAUAAUUAAUCAUUACUUAUAUUAUUUUUUUUAAGUUCCAAUAAUGAUGGAGAGAAAUUGUUCUGAUAGAUUAAUAGUCAUUGCUCGAGGUCUGAAUAAUAUUGUCAACGGAUAUGAUGGGUUCAUUAUAAAUGGUUUUAAAUUUCAUACUAAAAAGCGUGAGAAAUUUAGAACAAUUCGAAACAGUGGGGUUAUAGUUGAGGCAGACGGAAAAGUUUAUUAUGGUGCCUAACAGAUAUUUAUGAGCUGGAUUAUUAUGGAAAGUUUAAGGUAGUAUAAUUUCGAUAUGAUUGAAUGGAUAUAAACUCAUCUAAAGGUUUAAGGUAGGACAUAAAUGGAUUCACACUUGUAAAUUUUUUAAGGUUGAUAUAUACUAGUGUGUUAUUGAAAGAUUACCCAUUCGUUUUUUCAUCUCAAGCUCGACAAGUAUUUUUUGUGCAAGACUCAAAAGAUAAGAAUUAGUUUGUUGUCAUUAAGACUAAGCCUAGGGACUUGUAUAAUAUGAGAAAAGGGUUGGAAGAGGAGGAUGAUGAGACUUAUACUUAGUAUAUGACUUAUAAUAUUGUGCCAACUGAUGAAGACUUAUACUCAAGGGAGGAGGUUGUUAUGGAGGACGAGACGAGGACCCACUCGAGCAAAGGAUGUGUGACAGCUUCCUCAGGGUGAGAAGAUCGUCAUCCAAUGCAACGAAUUAGGGGAGCCCAUCAAGAGGGCUAGUGGCCUUUUAUCAAGUUUCUUAGGAUCAGUUACAUGUAAGGGUCAGCUGUAUCUGCUCAACUAUACGAAAUGGAAUGAUAUGCUUCGUUCAUAUAAAGUUGAGCUUCUUGGAGUUAUACAAGUAAAGAAUUGAAUUUGAUUUUUGUUAAUUUGAUACCUUCUUAGAGUUAUACAGGUCAAAUUGGCAUGGCACGACAUGUAAUGGCCUUUGAUGGUGCUUAAAAGUGUGGGCAAAGGCCCUAGAUGGGCUGACAUUAAUAAACGUUGGCGGAAACCGAACAUAGGGGUAGCGUCGACAGAAGCCCGACUAGGCUACCCCUAUGUUCGGUUUCUGCCGAUGUUUAUUAGCGUCGACAGACUCCAAAAUGGGCCGACACUAAUAAGCGUCGGCCCAAGCCUAGAUAGGCUCUAUACUAAAAAAAGAGCCGACGCUUAGUACUCAAAAAUAAGCCGAUGCUCAUAAAUUGGGUUUAUGCCGAUGCUUUUAAAAAGUGUGGGAAAAAAAUUUUUCCACCUCACUUGUCCGACGCUUUUGUGAUGCUUUUGGAAGCGUCGGCGCUAAAAUUUCUUGUGCUUAUAAACAUAAGUAAAGGCGCUAAAAAGCGCCAGAAAAGACUUUCUUUUUAGUGUAAUAUCCGUGUUUGUAUACAUAUCCAUCGAAGAAAAACAAAUAUGGAUAUAAAUAAACAAUUAUCCGAUCCGUAUUCGAAUAUCCAAUUUCAUCUAAUUUUAUAUAGCACAUACAAACUUAUAAGAAAAAUAAAUGAUCAUACUAAUAUACUAUUAACUUAAUUCACCAUCCACCUAGUAAUAUCUUUGAUUCUGUGGUCAUAAGAUUUAAUUAUAUGAUUUAUAUUCGUAUCUAUAUUCAUACUUUUGGUGGACGAUUUAUAUCCAUAUUCAUUUAAAAUAAAUAUUAAUAUGAAUUUUUACAUCUGACUAGCAUCUCUGUAUUCAUCAAACAAACAAACAUAAAUAUGGAUAACCAGUAUCCAAUCCGAUUUCAACUCUAACUAUAGUUGUUUAGAAGAGAGAGAGAGAGAGAGAGAGAGAGAGAGUGUGUGUGUGUGUGUGUNNNNNNNNNNNNNNNNNNNNUAGUAGUAGUAGUAGUAGAGAGAGAGAGAGAGAGAGAGAGAGUGUGUGUGUGUGUGUGUGUGUGUGGAGUAAAGCCAGCUAGGCCUGACUGUAAAUUGGGGACCUGCCUUCAUACGUGUUUCUCCAAUAGUAAGGAGAGAAGGAGACAUCACUUGUUGAAAUUGGAAUAGAAGCUAGCCUGAAAUAUAUAAUUAUGUCGCUCUCGCAAUUGCAAACAUCCGUUGCAGACCUCCUACACAGGUGAAGAUAACAGAUCUCCAACAAUGGAGAGUAACAGAGGCUGCUGUUGGACAAUGGAUACAUGGGGUCAGAUCCCAUCAAUGUACUCGCCGAUCUCUCAAUUUUUACAAGGCUGGUGUGCAAGCUAUACCUAAAAAUUAAUUCUCAUAUUUGGAGUAUAAGCCUGAAGAUGCUUCCUAGUUUUCACAUAAAAUUCCAUGAUACAUAUACAACAACUUAUGAACAUCUCUGUCAUGUUUCAUGGGUUAGACAGGCACUAUAUCAAUAUGUUGAAUCAAGCUGAGGACCUAUCAAUAUUUUCAGGGGAAUCUACUUUAUUUUUCUUUCUGGACCACUUUUAUUUAUUUAUUUUUGUAUUUCUUUAUAAUUUAUUGGAGGAAUGGCCCAGUAUUAAAAUUUGAAGAUGAUUUUGCUUUUGGCCUCAGCAAGCACACACACCAACCAUGCUUAUGUGGAGUUGAAUGCACAUGUUUUGAUAGCCAAUGCACAUAUUUUUAAUACUAAUGCAUUUUUUUGAUAAUUAAUGCAUAAAUUGUUAUACAUAAAUUGUGUAGCCAAAGGGAAAGUAUCUAAAGAUUUCAAAACUGGGUCAUUAUUCCAAGAGGAAGAAGAUGAUUCAGAAAUGCAAAAAUGGAAUCUAAGCAUGCCGUUUUAACAAAAUUCCAAUAAUUCUUGGCAUUGUAUUCCAUCUUCUCUCUCUCUCUCUCUCUCUCUCUUUGUUCAAACAUCUCGGCGUCGAUCUAAAUAUCUUGUUUUGUUUCCCUGCCGACAUGUCCCGAUCAUUUGUUUGGUGAGAAUGGCGACAUGAGUUUAAUUCAUAUAUCAUUUUUUCAAAUGUCAUGUAUUUAGUAAUCAUUUGAUUGUUAUUCUUCAGGCGGUAGUUAUGGAGAACAUUAGUACUAAAAGUAUGAAGAUGUUACUUGGUUACUUGAUGUUUUCUUUUGUAUUGGUCUCCUUAUCUCAUGGUCCCAAUCAACCAACAACAUGGCUUCCUUUUCAAGAAGAGAUCAUGAUCCAAGAAUGAUAAGUUAAAAUAAAGCCUUGUGUCCCCAUAUUUUCCCUCACUCCAUCCAUCAAUCCAAUUUCUUGGCUCCUUUUAUGUCCGAGUGAUCUUCCGUCACCAUGGAAAGGGAUGUUGUUUUCACUUUUUUUUUUUUCCCUUCCGUUCUAGUGGCCCAUCACAUUACGCGAUCUCAAUCACUUGAAACGAAGAGGAGCAAUUUUGUCUCGGCCAUUUAUUUGCUAGAGUACCAAUAUUCCAAUUUGCUUUCCAAGUCAUGCACAUUUGUUUGCUAGGUCAAAAGGCACCUACAUGUGUGCGUAGAGAUCAAAAUUAUCUGCCUUCAAAUAAAAUCUUUCAGGUGAAAAGCUCAAAGUGAGUACGACAUUUUCAUGAUUUAGAUUACAUGAUCUUGACUUGAGAAAGCUAAAAGUUGACUAUUUGAACUUGCAUGUCUGUCUCGUGUGCCUAUGAUCCAUAGAUGCUUAGACUGGAGAUGACUAAAAUUACCCCGAUACAUGUGAAACACAACUUUCUUUAGUUUAACGCAAUCAGAUUUGGGUGUGGAUUUGUCCCUUCCUGUUUUAUUCACGACAUUCUUACUGCUGUUGCUAAAAGAAGAAUUAUAACAAAACAACGAUCUAAAAAGUUGGUAGUCCCAAGUAGGCUAAUUAUAUAUAUUUAAUAGGCUAUUUGACGAAAUUGGUGCCCCUCUAUUUAGCUUCACCGUGUUCCUUUUACGUACCUUAUGUUUUUCCACUUAAUUUCAUUUCAUGAUUCUGUAUUCUGGAUUUGUGGUUACCAUAGUUUUAGACAAUAAUGAAUGUUACAAAGGUUUCAGGCAUUUUUCUACUAUCUUAUAAACACGAGCAGUAGUCUACAAGAAUAGCCAUUAUAUCUGUAAUUAGAAUUUUUAAAACUAUUACCUGUGCCUGGCCCACGUCCAUGACCACAACAGCCAUGCACCAUGCGUACCACGUACGUCCUGAUCUGACACCUCAACUUCCUCCAUAACUUUUACACUUAGCAUCAAGUGGGUCUUAAUGCCUGUUCAAUUAUUGUAUAAGUUAAUCUUUCAUUGAGCUGAUGUUUAUAGGCUUGUAUAGGGCCCAUCACCUUUUUUGCAACCAAAUCAUUCAAUAUAUUUCAGUUCCUCGAUUACAAAAAUAAUAUGGUCGAGUCUAGCAAUUAAUAUUCUUAAUAUCUUCUUGAUUUUUUUUUUUUUAAGGUUACAAACACUUCUUUAAGUGUUUGAGGAUUACCGUUUUCUCUUCUUUCUUUUUGAUCUUUUCGACCCGUCCGAGAGGGUCUAAAACUGCUAUAAGAGCCAUUCUAACAGAAAAUAGCAGCUAUUAUUGUUUAUUAUUUUUUAUUAUCAUAUCAUUGUCGCAGUCAUUAUAGCAAAUUAGCAAUGAUCAUUUUAUUUUAAUAUUGAAAUUGAAAUAUAAUAAUGUUUUGAGAGAAAUAACAUAUAUUAUAAAUAUUAUAAUGGCCAAUAAUUACGAUGCAAUAACACUUUAUUGAAACCAGAUACAGAAAAUGAACCCAAGGAAAAGGAUGACAGCAUUACUCUAUCUUUCGGGUAAUAAAACUAUAUGAGUCAUCACAUUAUAUACCUGACCGUUGGGAUAAAGAAAAAAAAUUUGGAUACCUUCCAAAAAGAAGAUAAAAUUUCUGAAAUUAUUAGAAUUCUAUCAUGUUAGGACAAAGGUCGAAACUAAGAAACUCCUUGACCAUCUGUAUUUUCUUUUGAAAAUUGAGUUAUAGUCCAAGAACUAAAAUUUUUAUUAACUAAAGGUGUCAAUGGUCAAGCUUGUCCAGCCCGACACAAAUGUAGACCAAGGAUUUAGGAAUUCAGUUUUUUUAUUUUUUUUUCUCUCACAGGCCAAUUUACAGUGGCUCAAGCACCCAAGUCCACUUGCACCAAAUGUUUAAGCAAGGGCCCUGCCUAGAUUGAUUUAGUGUUUAUAGAGGUUAUAGGCUCAAUUAAUUAUUAGGGCCUAAACAUUCAGCUAAAGAUUAGUUUUCUUAGGUUUGGUUGUCGUUUAAGCUUAGCCUUAUGGUGGGCCCACUGGGAUAGAUAAACCAAUCUCAAACCCCAUUUUUUGAAACAAUGUACAAAAGAAGACGAGCAAACUAGCUCAUCUACACGAUACCAAUACCAUACGUACAUAAUAUGUAAAUAUGGCUAAUACCAUCUGUCGUUCGUUCAACCCAGACUGCACAUCGUGGGACAAAUAUAUAAAAAAUAGCCAAAAGAAUGAUUGGAGUAUAAGAAAAACUUAAUACCCAAAUCUGAUAAUUUGGAAGCACUUCAAUCUAAAACCCUAGAAAUCUUAUGGAAUUCAAAUUUUCUUCUAACAUGCUUUUGCCAUGCUGAAUACUAGUAUAUAAAUGAAUUUUAAUUUUCACAGUGCCGGACUCGAAAGACCUAUUAUUAGGGUUGAGCUCAACCAAAAACAUCUUGUCCAUGAGACAUAACUCACCUCCCAAAGAGCCACAUGAGACAUAACUCACCUCCCAAAGAGCCACAGUGAUCCAGUGGAUAUGUGAGCAGGGGCGGACGCGGGACAGACAUCCUCUUCUCGACGACAGUUGGUACGAGGUUGUAGUGACUUUCAGAUAGUGUAUAUGUAUCGGAAGGUGAAUAGAGCCGCCGACUAGAUCGCUUUUUAUGUUGUAUAGCACUUUGGAGAGGUCCUCUAGACACACCAGGCAGUCGCUCCAGCAUAGUUAUAUCAGAUUGUAGCCUUUGAUUCUGCUGGCUGCACCUACACCAGAAUUGGGUGAGCAGCCGUUGUACCAAAAAAAAAAAAACGCCAAAACCCAAUUCCUUUCUAGACUGGCCAGCUGCAGCAGAACAAUUUAGCUAAAAAACAGAUAGAAUUCAUUAGCACGUGCGGGAGGACCAGGGUGUUGGUUACGUGGCUUCGAGCGGUGUCAACAGGACCCCGUUGGGCGGUAGCUGUCGGAGGCUCGGAGCAGCAUCUUUUCUUUGUUUUUGGACGCGAGGAGGAAGUGGGGAAAAUUAAAGUGAUGUCGGGCGAGAGACCUCCCUUUUUUUUUCUUUUUUCUUUUUGCUAAAAAGAGACCUCCCUUUGUGCCGACGCUCCGCCGGUCAACGCACGUCAGAUGGGUCCCACCGUCCAUGAAGCAACGACACGUCAAACACGAGGUCGGACGCCAUAUUAUCGCCUCUCUUGUGAGAUAAACUUAUCAACCAUUACUACUACUAAUAUUAUUAUUAUUAUUAUUCACAUAGUCUAAGAAUAAUACAUCUGAUUUUGGGCCACUUGACUUCAAAAAAUUAUGAUGUGUAAGAACCAAUCAAUUAACAACGUAUACGAGGCCUAUAAAGUGAUGUUUUAAUUUGAGAUUAGAUACGUACGUCUCAUCCAAACCCGGCCUAAUAAAAGACCUGCUUGUGGAAUAUUGGUUUGUUUCUUAAGAGAAUGAGGUUAAAUGAACCUGGCAACUAAGUGUUUCAUGAACUAGUGACUCAUUUGUUUGUAGCUUGCUUCCCUUCGACAACAAGUGAAAGAGGAUAUUCACUCAUGCCUAUCUUCAAAAACUCACCAACUUCUUCUCGCUUCAUCGAAUGCUUUGUAAAAGUUAAACCGUAAUUUUGGUAUUUGUCAUAGAUAGUUACUAGAAAGAGAUUGCUGUAGUAAGCUAGGGUGAGUGUAUGUAGAUUAUUUGUUUCUAAUCUUUGAUGAGUUUUCUUUCCAAUGCCAAAUGGACCAAGAAAAGGAUGGUUACGUAACCGUGAUGUAUUUAUGCAGGUGGAUUCCAGUGAAGUGAAGUUGAUUUAAAUAAUUCCAUGAAGAAAAGUAGGCGUUGGUGGGAAGAAGUGCAUGAAAUCCAACAUCCUCUAUUUUUCCCUUUUUACUGUUUGCUCGUCACCCUGGCCAUUGUUUAGUCCCCACCUGUUGACUUUCAAAGGAAUGCAUUGAAAACCUUUAAACAAGAGGUAGACUGGAAGCUUGGAUAUGGUUCGUGGUUAGUGGUCAUUGUUAGUCUUGUAGGGUAUAAUUAAUUGGAUAAUGGAGAACAACUUGCGAGCAAAAACUCUCCUGGCUCCCUUUACAUCUUCAAAUGCUCAGGUCUGUCAAGGGAUCAUUCGUCUCCUUUGGUUUACCUUUCCACCUCUCUCAUCCAUUCCAUUGCUUUGCCAUGAUGGAAGCUUGGAUUUGGAUUUGCAUCUCAAUUAGUUAGCAACACAAAGGUCAAUCACUAAUCCAUCGAUGUAAGUUGCCAAGGAAACAUUGCGUCAAUCAUCAUAAUGUUAAAAGGACCACCUUUGAGCACCAAGUCAGAAAACUCUCCUUAUGCUGCAAUUAUUGUCUUUAGGACUAAGUCUGGCUCAACAAACCUUGACACUUUUUAAGUUAAAAUCGCCUCGCUUAAGUAAACCAUUGCGUCGAUCUGAGGAGACCUUGUUCUAGAUAAACCAAAAUAAAGUUCAUGUUUUUUUAGUUUCUCAAAUGGCACACUAAAGGCAACAACUAUUACAUGGCAUAAAAAAAUGAGGAGAAAAAAAAGGAAUAAUAUUGUUGUAGUAUCCAAUACCUAAUGAUGUAAAAGAGAAGAGAGUGUGGUGAGCUUCAGUGUGUGAAUGACCAAUUCCUCUUAUUUCUUUCUCCUUCUUUGGCUAAUUGAAACCAAACAGAAGAAAAUGAAAGAAAAAAGAUUAGGUUGCCAAGCUUUAGUGGCAUGAUCCAUCGAACACCAAUACGUACAUCAAACUUCAAGAUUCACAUUACUUUCCUGAUGUUUAUCCAAACAAAGUAUGAAAAUUUCAAUAAAUUGAUUGCCAACAUGAGCAGGAGAACUGUAAGGCUGCAGAUUUGCUUGCAGAUACAAAGUAUAUUAGCCACUUGCAUAUCACCAGGAAUUAUACAUAAAUUAGGAAGACAUAUAAUAGAAAUUGUCCAUUUUAUCCAUUAUUUGAAACUGUAAUCAUUAAUAAUAUAUCUUUUCAAUUAUUAUAGAAGUAGAGGAAUGUCUAAAAUAUAUGAAAUUGCACUAAUGCCCUUUGAUUGCCUUCUGUUACUCUAUAAAGUAUGACUAGCUCUUGUCUCUCUACUUGUUAACUGGGAAAUGUUGAUGAUCUUCAGCUCAACAAAGUCUUCUCGAGUCAUGAUAAAAUAUUCGUGCAUGGUUUAACAUUUUAAAAUACUAACUAAUAAAUCAUCCAAAACUUAGAAUAAGACGAGUAGAUUUCACGCCAUCUCAUAAGAUAUCCUAGGCCCUAAUUAAACAACCAAGACACGUUAAUAUAAUGACUUGCCUUUGUUAAUUUUAAUCGUGCCCCCCAACCUCCUCUUGGCUCCAGCUUGUAUAACUUGAAAGAAGAGCCACUAUGAUAUUUCCUUUGGUUCCAAAGGAGGCAUGUCAAGGUCAAGCUCACGUAGGAUGCAAGAUCUUCGAGCUCACAACUAGGACUCCACCCAAUGACCGUGACACCCGUGCACGUUUCUCUUUGCUUGAAAUAUAUAUUGAUCAAAAAAUAAAUAAAAAGUAGCUACUUUAAAGCAUGUAUGGUUACCAAUCCGACGUCAAUAUAUUUAAUUACGUUGUGUUUGAUUCGAAUUGGAAUCAAAAUGAUUAUAUUAUCCGACUUACUUGGUUCAUGGCUGAAAUCGGACUCGGAUUUCAAUACUAGAUGAGGGUCCGAAUUAGAUUUUAGAGGAUUCGGAUAUUUCCCAUUUUUUGUUGAAAUCGGGAGAGAAAUGGAACUCCCCCAACCAAAUAGCUGCAAUGAGAGUCGCUCGUUACCGUUUUUACCUAAUUCCCUCGAACCAAAUAUGCCCUUAAACUAUUUGCGGCUUGGCUUCUUGACGAUAGGAGUUGCACCUGGUCAUUUUCUCAAAUCACAUUCCAAGUUAUAGAUGAGUUCAGAUCAAAUCAUGUUACAAAAACAAUUAUAGUCUUAGAUUCAAUCUAAUCCACUGUAGAAUAGGGACCCUUCAACUAAUACCAUCUAUGACGGUCGACUCCCAUAACCCCCCGCCCCCCACCCCAAAAUUAUUCAAUUAAUUAAAAGAGAUCAAUCACUUCAUAAUACCUUAGACAAUUUCUUGACAUAGGUCAAUCUAAAUAACACCCUAACUUCAAGAUCUAAGUCACGCCAAAACUCUAAUUUAUGCUCAAACCAAUUAAAAUGCAAGUAAUACAAAGGAACAUAAAUUAAGUAGUCAAGUAAAAAUAAAAUUAAUAUUUUUAUAUUGGCGUAGUAUAUAUUCAUAACUAAAAGUAAUAUUACAAUCCAUGAAUAGUGGCUAUGCCAUUUUAUGUCAUUUUACAAUCUUGUAUAUUUUGUUGUAACUAUGAGUAACGAACUUCUUUUAAGUCUCCACUAAUUCAGAAAAUAUCUAGCAAAAGGCUUGACUGGACAAUAACAGCUAUUAUUACCUUCAUAGGGGUCAGUAUACCUACAUUAAAAAUAAAAUUAAAAAGGGAAAAUAAAGAACAAACAAUGAAGAGAGGAUCUGAUUUGUAUGCGAUAAGUGACUUACGUAUAAUUAUACGCUGGACCGCACCUCGCCGUGAUAUCCAAGGAACCUGCUAAUCUCUUUUCCUAAUUAUGUGAUCAGAAAUCAGGGUUGAUAUAAAGAAAAGCAGCAUGAUAUUUCUAAAUGGGAGCAUGUUUUGUAUGAGAGAGAGAGAUUCCAGGAUGUGAUCAGGUUACCUCGCAAUAAGCUUACCAUGCCCUUCAAUCCAGAUCAGCUAAUUGAAGAAAGGGACACAGAUGGGCCACCUGCAGGUAGAGUGGUUUCUAAGCUCUCUCUGAGUAGGCUCUUUCUAGAUGAAUAACCACAGUCCUUGGAGUUUAGUUAAAGAUUGAAAUGUUACAUGAUUUGAUGCUGGAUUGUAAGUUUCAGCAGACCUUGUCUACUCUCCCCAUGAGGAUCUAUAAUCAGCUCAUAAAUAAUAUGUAAUUGCAAUAUAGUUUUUGUUCCUUUGUACUUCAAAUGUUUUAAUGCUUAACUAAGAGUUUUGUCCAAGGUCUCAUCUUUAAAUCCCACCCUCAUCGAAAGCUUCUAAUGCCACGACCGCGUAACAGCAUUAAAAAAAAUUCUAAGUUAAAAAAAUUUCCUGCUUCUCUGAUGAAAAAAGAUGAAUGGAAUUCUUCUGAAUCUUAAAUACAAUCAUUAGGAUUACACACAUGGUAGGCUUGAGGCUUUCCUCAUAAAGAAGUACUGUUUUUGAUAGUCAACUAGGCAUUUGCUCUGCUGAGAAUAACAUUGAGGUGCAGGUCAAUUCUCAAAUCCAUAAUUGUCAAAGAAACAAGGUGAAAACUCUAUUCAAAAAAUUUAUCCAUGAUGACAUAAAGAUCUUAUAUAUGGGAAAGUGAGCUGUAACAACCCAGGACCUCAUCCAAAAUGGCUAGCCAGAAGUUACUAUUUGGAUUUCUUGAUCCUGUAUAAAUAUCCAAGAUCUAUCCAGCAAAUAACCGAUAUGUGACUAAACACUGCAGUGUCCCUUAGUCCACAUAGAUUAUGGGCCAGGUCCGCUCUGAUACCAUUUGUAACAACUCAGGACCUCAUCCAAAAUGGCUAGCCGGAAGUUAUUAUUUGGGUUCCUUGAUGCUGUAUAAAUACCUAAGAUCUAUCCAACGAAUAACCGAUGUGAGACUAAACAUACGCCCGCACAUAUUCUCACAUGAGCCACGUAACUUCAUCACAAUUCUAUGCUUGUAAUGCUCAGCAGGAUGCAAACUGAUAUGUUGUCGGUGGUUGUUGAGACCGACGAAUUAUCAGUACCCUACUAUCGACCAUACAUGAAGAUCCUCGAUUUUGUUCAAGUAAAUGAGGAAGCUAUGAAUCGUAUAUACCGAUUAGAAUGACUUUUGAAUGCAAGCAGACGUGUGACUGUAGUUUACUUUAAUGUAUAGUAAUAUGAAGCUUCCUCACCCUUAACCACUCGAAGCUGAGUGUCAUGUCUAUAUAGAUGCGUGUCAUUUCGCCAACUUACCGAAAAAGCUUGCAUCUUUCCCUCCAUCUCUCCUAACUCAAGUCCCCCACUGUUGCCAACCUCUUUUCAGAAUUUUCUUUUUUAUUCAGUCGUUUCCUAUAAUUGAAGAUACCUUGAAUCGCAAUCCAUUGCAAUGCAAGAACAUCAAAGCCUUGCUUAAAAACCACUUGAUUGUUUCACCUUCCUGUGUUCCUUUCUCUUUCUUUCUGUGUGGGUAUCUCUCUCUCUAUCUAUCUAUCUCUAUCUUCCUGUUUCUCUUCAUCUUUCUUCAAUGUUAAGCAUAGAACUGUAUUCUAUAUAAUUCAGCUGCUAUUUUAUUUGUGUUUCCCUCUCACAAAGCAAACCGCAUCGAAGCUCAUCCACAGAUCCUGUCACCCAGAAUUCUCGGUCGUUUAUUCGGAGGAAUGGGACGGCGUUCCUGCUGUCCGAAGCAGAAGCUAAGGAAAGGGCUGUGGUCUCCUGAAGAAGAUGAGAAGCUCUACAAUCACAUCAUCAGAUAUGGGAUUGGCUGUUGGAGCUCUGUGCCCAAACUAGCAGGUGUGUUUUUGCACUCUACUUUUUCACAAACAUUUCCUCACCAUUCUCUCUGUAUGAUUCAUCACACUUUUUCUUUGUCCAGGAUUGCAAAGAUGUGGGAAGAGCUGUAGACUGAGGUGGAUAAAUUACUUGAGGCCAGACCUCAAGAGGGGCAACUUCUCACAGCAAGAGGAGGGCUUGAUCAUAGGCCUGCAUGAGAUUUUGGGCAAUAGGUACAUAACAUGCCUUGGGACUUCUCCUAGGAACCACAUUUAAAUCAUACAUAAUUCAGUUACUGGUUAUUCAACCUUCUCCUAUUUGGAGUUGCAGGUGGUCUCAAAUUGCAUCCCACUUGCCAGGAAGAACAGAUAAUGAGAUCAAGAACUUCUGGAACUCGUGCCUCAAAAAGAAGCUUCGGCAGAGGGGGAUCGACCCGAGCACGCACAAGCCAUUGAGUGAGAAAGAAGCACCAGGGGAAAAGCCUGGUUUGAACAAUUCAAUCAGUAGUGGUUCCACAGAGCAUCUGCCGGUGAAGCCGGUUUUUGAUCCUUUCCCCUUGAUUGAUAUCCAGGUGGGUAUCGAUGCCACGGAGACUAAUUCGAACCUUUACGACCAAAUUCAGCAAGCUUUUAGGCCUUUUAACCAGAAUGAGUUGUUAAACAGCUCAGGAUUUUGUGAUUAUAGUAGUGUCUUGGAUGUUUCGGAGAAUUAUGGCUAUGGGGAGAGCUCAAGUAACAGUAGUAAUUGGAACUGCAAUGUAGGAACAGACAUGAACAAUGUGUUGGGAACUGAGGUUCUGAAUUGGGCUUCUGACAACAAGGUAGACUCAUUAACUCAGUUGCAGACCAAUGGGAUGGAAACUUUUGAAGGGAAGAUUAGUCCAUGGCAUAAGAACCAGCACCAUGCACAGAGUACAGAAGAUUACAGUGGCUGUCCGAUUAGGUCGCUGUCUCGAGACCUGUCAGAGGCCUGCUUUGAUAUACCUCAAGGGGAAUUGGCAAAUGAAUUCAAUGUGGAUUUCUUUUGAGUUCUUCAUAUUCUCCUGCCCUCCCUCCCUCUCUCAUAUAUCUUGAAAUCAUUGGAAAAAAUUGUGAAUGAUAGAGGUGGAACUUUUUGUCUGUAUUUUGCUUCAAUUUCUUUGCUUUUUCUCCACUGUAUUAUGGCUAUAGAGGAACAAAUAAUGUUACAGGGGUGUGCUCACAUUACAUUCUUAUUGUUUUGCUGGAUCUUCAGAAACUUUAGUGUUGGAAUUGUUUUGAUACAUUCGCCAUCAUCAGCACCACCACCACCAUCGCACUUGUUAUGGCAUAUCUCCAACCGCCUUCUUUCGCAUCAUGAAUUACUCAUGCUUUUAGGCCAAAAAGACAGGAAAAGGCACUAAAAACUUACUUGCCGCCUUUUACUGUUGUUGUUCAUUAAUCUGUGAUCUCUGCAGUAUGUUUGUCAAACAUAACUACUCUAUCUGUACUGCUCAAUAGAAAUGAGUUUACAGCCUAAUUUUAUAACAAUGUUGCUGUUAAUGAGCUUGAUCAAUUGGUGACAAGGUUGCAAUUGUCCUUGUCAUCCAUCCGACAACGAGCUUUUGGCCUCACUGAUGAACAUACUUGCAUUCGGAAAUGUUCUACAAAACUGCUUUCUGUACACAUGUUAUUUGCCUUCAUUCACCCGCCGAACUAGGUAUUCCUUAAUUUGUCCAUUCUAAAACAUGCUAGCACAUCAAACCAUAUAGUUUAUGUUGGAUCAUUGUUCAGUCCAUCACUUCAAAACAUAAAUAGACAUCUAGCUACCAUACACAUCAGAGAACUUUUUAAAAUGCAUGGUCUUAUUGCAGAGGUGAUCAGAAUUAACAGGUAAAAUCAGUCUUUUAGACAACACAUUGCCUUCACCAUAUGGUGUAGUAUAUGGAAGUGAAUUUGCCUCUAAGAUAUUGCUAGUCCAUCUGUCAAGACCUAUGCAUUUAUUUACACAAUAAAGCCCUAUUCAUUAUAACAUGAGUUUAAUGUAGAUAUUGAUGAGAAAAGAGGGUUUUAAUUUUUCUAUUGAUGCACUAAAACUAGAUUUCAGGCUGCACUUGACUUAUUGAUGGAUGAACGAGCUAAGAGUAUGGACAUUUACUCCAAAUGCCUUUGAAGCUUACACCUAACCUGGCUGAUUAAGAACUCGACUUCACUAGUAAGGCUUGCUAAUAGAUUAAGCUGGCCCUUUAACUGUGUAAGGCCACAAUCGAGAAAAUUAAGUUCGAAACCAUUGCUCUCCACUUUCUCCUACCUAAUCUACUAUCUGCUUAUGACAAUGUGUUCAAUGUCAUGUAAUGUCAUAUUAUGGGUGUUUGGUAGUGCAUUUAAGGCUAUUUCUUUGAAAUGAGUUUCCUUUAAAACAAAGUUGUUUCAAAGAUGACAAACUUGCAAACAUCCUUGUCACCUGACAGUAAGAUUGGCUGAAUUCAACAACAUUCUUGCAUGUCAAUAUUUUUUAAAUGACUAAUUGUGUUUAUGUGAUCAUUGUGCUCGGAGACAUGCUGAACUAGGUAACAAUUAAAUUGGUUUUAUAGUUAACAAUUCUCUUCAAGUGGUCCUCUGGAUGCUCUUCUAUGCUAAUCCAAAUUAGCACAUUGCACCAUAUAACUCUGCUUAAGUAUGACAAUUUAAUGGACCACUUUAAGGAGCUCUUCAACUUCUAACUACCACAUGAUUCAGCAGAAUCGAGCCUUAGCGAGAUGAUGAUUUUCCGAAAAGGUUGUUCAAGUGACUGAGUAUUGUUAUUUCAUUCCCAACCGUGAAGCUAACCAAUAUAGAAGAACAUGAAAUAAAUCUGAAUCCAAGUUUCCAACUGAAUUUGAGAGCAUAUAACCAAGUAACAGAUGCAGGUACCCAAGGUAUAUGCAUGUACUCCGAAGCAUGGCACCGGCCAUUGCACACUCCACUUCACUUGUAGAGCUUGCAAUGGAUUAAAGUUGGUCUUUCAGUUUUAAAUUUCAGCUUAUACCACAAAUUCAAGCAGAUUUUUGACCCCUGAAGCAGGAUUAAUUCUCAGGAUUUUGUGAUCAAGGGAGUCACUUGAAUACUCGAGAGAAACAUUGUUGCAAAAAGAGUUCAAUGGCAGUAACUGGUGCUGCAAUGUAGGAACUGAGGCUGGAAAACUAGAUCUUAGAUUGGUCUUCUGGGAAUAAGUUGGUGUUGAAUAUUGUCUUAAAAAAUUCCUAUUAUAGAUGUGCUUGUUACGUAAUUAUUUUUUAAGGAAUGCUCUUGUUGGUGUUUGCUUGGGCUACAAGAAAUUUUAUUACUUCAACAAGAAGUAGGGUUCUGAAAACUCCAUUAGUGUACAUAUAUCUGAUGGUGGAAGCUUGCAAAAGAUAUGAAAAUAGAAAGGUGAUGGAGAUGAGGGCAAUCAGUAGCAGGGUUUUCUUUCAGGCUCAAAUCUGAAGUCGAUUUGUCCUAUUAUAUAUCCUUUAUAAUGCUGGCUUUGAGUUUUCAUGCAUUUUUUGUUUAAAAUAGAAAAGAAAAUAUUUCCAUGCACUUAAAACACACAAGAGUGUCAGCUCCAGUUAGUAGACCAUUUAUCUCCACGACAUCCUCAAGUGCAGACUAGGAGCACCUACAGCAUGUCCCUAGAGAGUAUAAUUCCCUAGUCAUUGUGAAGUAAUAGCCAUUGAACAAUGAAAAGGGUGCCUACCAACUCAGGAUUCUGAAAAAUUUUUGUUUCUGCAUAUCGAUUAUCAAUGACAAUGUCUUUUGUCGAGGGUGCAACCCUAAGGACAACACAUAUUUACAGGGAGGCAAACAGUGCUGCUGAUUGGCAGACUAGAAGCACCUAAAGGGUAUGCCUUUAGAGAGUAUAAUUCCCUAGUCAUCAUGAAGUAAUAGCCAUCGAACAAAGAAAAGGAUGCCUACCAACUCAGGAUUGGAAAUCUUUUGUUUCUACAUAACAAUUAUCAAUGAUAAUGUCAUUUAUUAAGGGUGCUACCCUAAGGACAACACAUGUCUAUAGAAAGACAAACAGUACUACUGAUUGGGUAGCCUCCUAUGCGGCCUAUCACGCUGCAUUCAUACCCGUCGGAUGUGAGCCACCGUUGUAACCAAAAAAAAAAAAAAAAAAAGACAAUGUCUUCUAUCUUGCCAUAGUUAUUUUUUAUUUAAUAACAAAUGAUUCGAAGACGACAAACAUGAGAAAAACCUUGUCAACCAACUGAGGCUAGCUGAAGCUUGAGCCAUUCUUGCAUGUUGAUAUAUUCUUAAUUAUUAGCUUGUAUACACCUGAACAUCAUAUUCAGGGAAUGUUGAAUGGUAACAUAUAAAUUGGUAUUAUAGUAAAAGAAUCACAUGACGUGGUCAGGUUAGCAUAUAGUAUCAUUUUAACUCUUAUUCAGUCUGAUGAUUUUGCAACAAUCCAAAAUCUCUUCUCAAUGAUAUUAUUUGAAUUCUUUAAUCCUGUAUAAAUACUCAAAAUCUAUCUAUAUGAAACUAAAUACAAGCCCACAAAUAUCAUCACAGAUUUAAUGGACCAACUCAAACUUCAAAGCAUUCAUUAAUUUCUACCAUAUGAGUCAGCACAGUUCAACCUUAUCGAAAUGAUAAAUUUUCUAGAGGGGUGAUUGCAGCCUCCAAGGUAACUUAAGCAUUCAAAACUUUUCAAAACUUUCAGAAAUCAUUAACUGAGUGAUCCAUGUCAAGAUGAGAUGGAUGAUGCUGGAAGGUUCAAGGUACAAUGCCUAAAGGGGGAGUCUUGCUGAUAAACUUUUCAUCCUGGGAGUGAUGGCUCUGAGAUCAAAUGUUCAAAAGAAACAUGGAACAAUGACAAAUAGAAGCAUUUGUUAGCACCAACAAAUUCUAGUACAUUGGCCCAAUCAAAAAAUAAUCAUUUUCAUGUCAAUACUUUCAGAUAGAUCAUCUUAACACCAACAACCAUUUGUUUGGAACAGUCCGGCGAAGCUGUGAUCACAUUCAAUUGGCAAUUCAGUAGCAGAAUCUCUUGGAUAAUCCUCUGGCAGAAUGUCAUGACCUUCCAUUGUUUAAAGGCAACAAGGAACUUGGAAGGUUGACAGAAUCAGAUGACCGACAUCUCCAGAGCACAUAAUGAAUCACCCCCAACUGGCGAACAACAGAAGCUUCCCCUAUAAGCACCCCCAACUGCCGAGCAACAGAAGCUUCCCUUAUAAGCGGUCGCAUCAUAUCCUCUUAACACUAUCUCCAUGAAGGACAAUGAGACCCUCACUCAUUAGAGCGGAAAGGGCAUUGCGUAGCUGACAAAUUCCACAACAGUGCCUGAGUUAGUAAAAAUGCAAAGUCUCAAACCUGAACAGAAUAAAUGCAUGCCAUGUUGAGACUUACAUCAUUCAGAUGAACUUCCACAGAGCUUUGUUUCCUCAGCUCUUCCAGCAACUACAUCAUUGACAUGUUGGUUCAGCUUACAGUCAACAAAAUUUGGAUAGUUGCUCCAUAUUAUAAACAAGAUAACUUACAUCAAUUAAACGCAUGGAGAGUCCCCCAAGCUGCAUUUUUUCCAUUACAAGGCUGCGGGUUGCUGCAACUAGAUUCUCCCGUCUCAUCCUUUCGCUAGCAGAUAUUCCAGUCAUGAUAAGAUCCAUGUCGAUCGUCCCUUUUGCAAAAUAUUAAGGUCAGUAGCUGCAGAAACUCAGGAGGAGAAACAAGGGUUAAAAUGAAAAGAAAAGGAGAUUUUCUACCUGUAGAAUGAUCAGUUGCUGACUGCUGCAAUGCAACAUCCAGCAGUCUAUAUGCCUCCGACACAUCAUGAACUUCAACCUGUAAACAUGAUCAAUGAAUUCAUUUUUUUGAAGGGAGACAACAUACAGAUACAAUUCAAUCCCAAAACAAUGAAAAUUGCAACAGCAAAAAACAAACUCAUUACCCAUUCGGAAAAACGGAUGCGAGCUAAUGCUUCACUUAGACGUAUCAAACUCUCAAUUUGCCUAGCUGUUGCUGUGAUCACCUACUCAUGGAAUGCAGAGAGGCUCAGGUAUGUGACAUGAAAUUAGUAUGAUUAUCAGCAUAAAUGUUGUAGAUAGCAAUUUUUUAUUGUUCCAUUACCUUCUUCCUGCUUCCUGGAGCAUUCCCUCUUUUCCUCAUUUCAACAUAGCGAUGUGUCAAUUCUUCUGCUGCUUCAUCAGAUAUCUGGGGAUGAAUGUGUUUUCUUGCAUAGCUAAUGUAUGCAACCAAAGUAGGUAGGUCCAAUACAUCUUGCACUAGGGUCUGCAAAGUGGGAAGCAUUUAAACCUGCUAUCAGCAUCACGCUGACUGAAUAUGAAACUUACAACGAGAAAUAUCAUAGACCCUGAUUCAUGAGCCCAUUUCCUACGUUAUCCACUUCUUGUCAGAAACAAAUUCAUUUCUUUUCCGUUGUCGAGAAAUAUUUACAGCAGCACAAUAUAUUCAUCAUUCAUUAUUAAGUGCUUUAAUUUAUUUCUACUGAUGUAUUUUUCAUAAUUUUUUCAACAAUACCCCAAAUUCUACAAUUCAAGUUUCCGCCCAAUAAAUCAAACCAUAAUACUAAUAAAAAAUAAUAUGAAACUUCUAACCUCUGGAUUUUCAUAAUGCAAUGAGACAAUAUGCUUGGCCAAACGUCUGUCAUUUUGUUCGUCAGCUUUAUCCAGAAGUAGGUAGAUCAGGUCAAACCUGGCAAUAAAAAAGGCCUAAUUAUCUAGAUAAAAAUUCUACCAAGUGUACUAAAUAUGGCUUAUUAUCUUCUUGCAUUAGUAUCUUCUCACCUGGACAGCAAGGUUGGAGGAAGGUGGAUAUUUUCAAUCACCGAGAGCCGAGGGUUAUAGCGCGACCCACUAGGAUUUGCACAAGCCAGGACUGAAGUUCUGGCAUUUAGAGAAGCAAUAAUCCCAGCCUUGGCAAUUGAUACUGUUUGUUGCUCCAUAACCUACAAGAGUUCCAGAGAUAAGAACUUAGAUGUUUCAGAAGCCAACAGCUUAUACAAAUAUAUAAAGAGUGAGACUGAAGCAAAAAACUUACAUAAUCAAGAAAAUCUUGAGAUCAGUUCACAAAUAAAACCAGUAUAACAUCUAGACCAUAGUUACCUUUCUCCUUGGGCUGCUUGGUUCAGUUAUUGUUACAUGAUUCAAAUUUUGUUCUCUAUUAAUGGAUCAGGCAUUGGAAUGGGAUUAGAAUUCACUCCAUGUGUAUAUAUUUCAACAUCAUAGUAUGUGGUUUACAGAAUGUAAAUAAAAUAAUUUGCAACCAAGGAACCGGAUGAUAUAAAUUAUAAUAGAAAAAUUUAAAAGAUGGAUGGAGAAAGAUGAGAAGAUUUCAUACAGUUAGGAAUUAAUUGGACAAUUGUUCUUAUAAAAUCCUUUCGUUCAUUGUUACCAAUUCACAAUUUCGUUGUGAUUUGACAAACUAGGUGAAUAUGAUCUAGGGUAACUAUGCACAACUAUGACUCGUGCAGAAUAGUUUUUUUUAUGGAUGCUGAAGAUUUCUUGGAAGUACAACAGAAAUUUGCAGUAUUCUAACUAAAAAUAAAUAUUCAAUUACACUAUUGGAAUGCAUAGUACCUCGUGCAACAUGCUGCGUGCAUUUUCAGACAUUUUAUCAAAUUCAUCAAUGCAACAGACACCUCUGUCACUCAAUACCAAUGCACCACUCUCCAAAACCUGAACACAUGGAAAUAUUAAACUUAAAAUCCCCUUGAGCAUCAGAUGAAUCAAACUCAUUCUAAGAAACCAUAAAUAAAAUAAGACAAACUAUCAUACAGUUUCACCAGUCUCUGGGUCCUUUGUAACAUAAGCAGUCAGGCCAACCGCUGAGCUCCCUCUCCCACUGGUGUAAAUGCCGCGAGGAGAAAGUUUAUGAAUGUAUUGGAGCAGUUGGGAUUUACUGGUUCCAGGAUCUCCCACAAGCAGGAUAUUGAUGUCUCCACGGAAGCUAGCCCCAGAUUGAAGCUUCAGAGCAUUGCCUCCAAAAAGCUGAAAACAAGAAUUUGCUAAACAGCUUGUUGGUAACAUAUAUUCAACUACUUACAGAUCCUUCUAUUUUAUUCUUUGGAUGAAAGAUAUAAAAUAGAAUGAAGAUGCCAUAUGGACCUGGCAAAGAAGACCCCUUUUGACAUCAUCCAAUUCCCAUAUGUUUGGAGCCAAGGAUCUGGUUAGCCUAUCAUAAAUAUCUGGCAAUUUUGAAAGCUCUUUUAAUUUCUCUACCUGAAAAUCCCCAAAAGCAUGUGAGAAUUGAUGGCUUAAACCUGUUAUGUUCCAGAAAUGAUUUAAGCCUAGGGAGACUUAGAAGUGAAAGGGACAGAAAGCAAUACCUUGUCUUGAUAAUUAGGACUUUCAUCUUCAACUGCCCUGUUGUUAGAAGUGUUACUAUCGCAUUCCAGUGGGUCCUCAAUGUGAAGCUUUGAUUUGUCUGUCUUCUUUAAAUGAAGGCAAUCGAUGUAUGUCUGUCAUUGAAGAAUUCAAGUUAUAAACCACUAUCUUUAAUUUAGUUUAUUUGUGCCAUCCCAACUUUGAGUUACCGCUAUCUAUCCUCAAUUCAAAGUAACCAUCAUUCACACAAAAAGAAGGGGAAUUACAAGGAGAAUUAACAUGAUACAACCAGCUUAUUACCUUGAAUAUAGAUUUUACUGUCCUCUGAGUUGGUCCCAUUCUAAUACUCAUAGCUCUGUAUAUCCCAGUUAUCUGCAACCAGAGUAAAGAAAUAAAAAAAGACACUAAAAUAAGGAAAUGCAAUGGCAGAUUCUCCAAAAAAAUUCAAUAUAAGUUAAAAACUCUUUUCUAACCUCAACUCUGUCUCCAGGUUUCCCGGAGUCCACAAGUUUGUCAUGCAUCAAAAUGCUGACUGUGUGUGGAGUCCCACCUUCAGGUAUCUCAUCUGGAGUCUCCUGCAAUUUCACAAUCUGUUUGUCUGCAAAUCUGAUACCACAAGACCCACCCAUAAGUUACUAUAGUGCUUUCAUUAAGUUAGAUUAUUGACUAAAAGCAAGGAUUUGACUAGGAGAUACCUGCAUCGAUUAUGGACCAGCGUCAUGGAAUUCAAAGCCAGACACUCUGGUUUUCCACACCUGGUUGGCUCAUUUAUUCGGCCUAACCAAACAAAAAUUCUGAAUGAUUAAUAGCAUGAAAAAGAAAACAUUAUCAUUCAAGUAAGCUUUCAAAUGAAAUGAGUAAUUAAAUAAAAAAAGCACAUAUCAAGAGACAAAUCAAAAGUAUAGGCAGCUUUAUUGGCAUAUGAUUAAGUAUUGUUUAGAUUUUAGAAUUUGUAUUUGUGCAUGCUUAUGAAAACCUUGGAAGAUGUUGCUGUUGCCCAGGAGCUAACAGAGGAGGUUCUGGAGUCAAUCGGAUAGCAGAUGACAUAUAUAAAGUGUAGACAGCACAAGUUCAAGAAGAACUUUUUGCAUGCCAAUUGCAUCUCUAAAACAUUAGGCAAAAGCCUUCCAUUUUUUAUUUUCCAUAGCAUGAAAACUCCAAUUGAACUCAGGAUAUGACUAUAGGACCUAUACAAUGAGGAUUUUAUGCUAUGUCAGUAUUUAUUGAAUGCAUCACUUAAAAAUAAAAACAUAAACCUAUUAACUCCACCAGAAUGUGGCCCACUACGACUGGACAUAUAUGUGCUCUAUGACUAACUUUAAAAAUAAGGUAUAAGGUGAAGAAUCUGAAACAAGCAAGUCCAUGAAAAAGUUCUACUUGAUUUGAAUUGUAGGCUUCAAUUUCCUCGAUGUGACAAAGGAACAAGAAUUAGAUACACCACAGAAGAACAUUACCUUUUAUUUAACCGUUUUUUUUUUUUGGGGGGGGGGGGGGGGGGGGUUAAUUUCAUCAGACAUUAAGAGAAGGGAAGCAUAAGUAAUUAGCGAACAUUGCUAACAAGCUUCUAAUAGCAACAAAUUAGUAUUAGAUCAAAAUUAUACUAUAUUCAAUCAGCUCAAUAUAUCAGUAAAGAUUAUCAGAUGCAGCUCUAAAUGGAUGAAAAUGACUGGAAUCAUAAAGAUGUCGCAUGUUCUAGCUUCUGCUAUCUCCUGCUCUUGGCCCAUGUUGCUUAUUGUCAAGUGAAGUUAAGCAAGAAAGUUUCAUUGAACAGUAAGGCAGUCAAGUGAAGAUGACCAACAUAUAUCGCCAAAAGAAUGAUAAACAGAGAGAGAUGGUGUUUAAUAGAUGUAAACGAAUUUCAUAGAAUUUGUGGUUUCAUCAAAAAUUGGCAGAUGAUUCAGUCGAAACAGAAACUAGUUGUCAUGACUAAGUAGAACGACUGUCAUCAAAUCCUACACUUAUCUUCUAGCAUAGGUUUUGUUACAGGCAAAUAGACUGAAGCAGAUCUCACUCAUGAUUUGCACCAUUAACUCAAACAAGCAAAUCAGUUCAUCAGUUAUUAUCCCUCAAAAAACUCAGUUCAUCAAUUUGAAUUGUAAAAAUGAUAUGCCUAUAUAUAUAUACCUCUAUCAACGAGUACUGGUUCAGAGUAGUAACCGCAGACGAGGCAACGGAAUGUAGCUUCCCUGACCUCGGGUAUGAUGGAGCUGCAUCGGAUGAUCAUCCCCUUCACGGACACCAUCUUCUCAAUAUCUAAACAAAUCAGACCCAAGAAAAACAUUCAAGCAACGAGCAAAAUCGAUACACAAUUAAUGACAUAUGGAGUUAAACAAUGAGUAAAUUAAAAAUAAUCAUUUCAAGGAAUGUAAAUACGUGGGUACCAGAGGGGUUGAGAUUUCUCAUGCUGACGGAAGACUUGAGAUUAAAGAUCCUAGUUUGGAUGUGCUUCUCGAACAAAGGGUUGAUCCGGCCAACCAGGUCCAUGAGCACGAUAUCGAAGAUGGCAAGCACCUCGAGCGGGUACCUCACCAUCUUGCUGUAGAGGUCGGGAUCAUAGUCGAACACAUCAUGCGCAUCAACGUCCAAAGACUCCCCGCCCUCCAAUUCAAUAAUGCGGUGCACCGCCCGCAUGUACUUGCCCUCCUCCAUGAUGACGUCUGCCAGGCCGGCCUCCUGCGGGUCCCGGAAGUUGCGGAGGAAGCGGAGGAUGGCGGCGUUGACGUCCUGCACGCUGAUGUUGGUUCCCCACACAAACACCGGAGUGGAGUCGGCGUCCACGGGGUCGACAUCGUCGUCGCCUGUGUCGGAGGAAGGGGGGAGGUUUUCAUCGGUGGACAUGGGGGUGGAGGGGGUCUGCCAGCNNNNNNNNNNNNNNNNNNNNNNNNNNNNNNNNNNNNNNNNNNNNNNNNNNNNNNNNNNNNNNNNNNNNNNNNNNNNNNNNNNNNNNNNNNNNNNNNNNNNNNNNNNNNNNNNNNNNNNNNNNNNNNNNNNNNNNNNNNNNNNNNNNNNNNNNNNNNNNNNNNNNNNNNNNNNNNNNNNNNNNNNNNNNNNNNNNNNNNNNNNNNNNNNNNNNNNNNNNNNNNNNNNNNNNNNNNNNNNNNNNNNNNNNNNNNNNNNNNNNNNNNNNNNNNNNNNNNNNNNNNNNNNNNNNNNNNNNNNNNNNNNNNNNNNNNNNNNNNNNNNNNNNNNNNNNNNNNNNNNNNNNNNNNNNNNNNNNNNNNNNNNNNNNNNNNNNNNNNNNNNNNNNNNNNNNNNNNNNNNNNNNNNNNNNNNNNNNNNNNNNNNNNNNNNNNNNNNNNNNNNNNNNNNNNNNNNNNNNNNNNNNNNNNNNNNNNNNNNNNNNNNNNNNNNNNNNNNNNNNNNNNNNNNNNNNNNNNNNNNNNNNNNNNNNNNNNNNNNNNNNNNNNNNNNNNNNNNNNNNNNNNNNNNNNNNNNNNNNNNNNNNNNNNNNNNNNNNNNNNNNNNNNNNNNNNNNNNNNNNNNNNNNNNNNNNNNNNNNNNNNNNNNNNNNNNNNNNNNNNNNNNNNNNNNNNNNNNNNNNNNNNNNNNNNNNNNNNNNNNNNNNNNNNNNNNNNNNNNNNNNNNNNNNNNNNNNNNNNNNNNNNNNNNNNNNNNNNNNNNNNNNNNNNNNNNNNNNNNNNNNNNNNNNNNNNNNNNNNNNNNNNNNNNNNNNNNNNNNNNNNNNNNNNNNNNNNNNNNNNNNNNNNNNNNNNNNNNNNNNNNNNNNNNNNNNNNNNNNNNNNNNNNNNNNNNNNNNNNNNNNNNNNNNNNNNNNNNNNNNNNNNNNNNNNNNNNNNNNNNNNNNNNNNNNNNNNNNNNNNNNNNNNNNNNNNNNNNNNNNNNNNNNNNNNNNNNNNNNNNNNNNNNNNNNNNNNNNNNNNNNNNNNNNNNNNNNNNNNNNNNNNNNNNNNNNNNNNNNNNNNNNNNNNNNNNNNNNNNNNNNNNNNNNNNNNNNNNNNNNNNNNNNNNNNNNNNNNNNNNNNNNNNNNNNNNNNNNNNNNNNNNNNNNNNNNNNNNNNNNNNNNNNNUCCAAAAAAUACUUUCUAGCUAUCCUUUUUUUGAUGAGGUCCUAAGUUAUGAUAGAUCAAGAGGUUAGUUUACCCUUCGUUAGUGGUAGUCCAGAGCAAUUCAACAUGCGCUUUGGGGAUAGUCUGGAACAGUUCUAGUAUGCUUGUGCAGCUUAUAAAUAUUUCAGACAUAGUCGGAUGCAAUGCAAGCUUGGCCUCGAGCAGUUCUUGGGUGUGGCUCGGUAGCAUUUCAGUCAAAGAUGGAUGAAUUCAAGCUUGGUCUAGAGCAGUUUUUGGGUAGAUGGAAAUGAUCUUUUCCUAGUUCGGAUUGCAAGCUAGUUAACCAAUAUGAAGAAGUAGCUUUCUCAUUUGAUAACAAAUGUUAUCAUUAUGUCUAAAUAUUGUUGGUCCCCCAAAAGAAAAGCCAUACCCAAAACCAAUAGAUUGUGUUUAAAGUCCAAAUUUAUUGAUUGUAUAGAAAGCUUCACUAGCGAAAAUAUGCCUCUAUGAGAAGAGAAGCAACAACAAUAACAGCAUGCAGCUCGCACACAUGUAAAACAGAACAAGCUACAAAGACAACUAGAGACAAAUCCCAUAUUGGUUCACCACUUUAAUGGUUAACCUUCCUGCAGUGCUUCCUGAUCUCUCCCCUUAACCCAGUGAGUGGGGAGAUGUUGCCCAUCUUCACCAUGGAAUUCGCAAAUUGCUCGAAGAAGAGCUCAUUGUUCUCUGCAUACAGCUUCACCAGCUGCAUGGUGGCUGCACUCUUAGUGAAGAGGACCUCGUCGGAGCUGAGGAGGCCCUUCUCGGCCAUGAGGUUCCUGAAGUAGUUGUUAUCGAACUUGGUGGGGCUCACAAAGUCCAACGGAAAGAGGUUCUGGUCGCCACCCGACUGCGGGCAUCGGGUCCGCAACUGGGCGGCGUAGGCUGCAUCGAGUGUACCAUCAGGGAGCCCAUUGCCUGUCUGGUUGUAGAGCCGUUGGCGGAAGCUGGUGCACCGAGAUUGCCCGAUCGUGUGGCUGCCUGCAUCGANNNNNNNNNNNNNNNNNNNNNNNNNNNNCCGGAUCCAUGGUUUUAACAACACACGUGAUCUCAACGUAGUACUAAAAAAAGAAAAAAAGAAAAAAAAAGAAAAAAAAGGAAAAAAAAAAUUACCUCUGUAACUGUUCAUCUUCAACCUCCGCCCACGCUGUGAACCGCGCCGCCGUCGUUGCCGAGUCGCGUCAUCACCAAGCUGCAGCUGCCCAAUCGCCGUCCACCCGACGAGCAACGCCGCCGCACCGGCCAGUCGUCCCCGCUGCCCCUCCGUCGCCGCAGCGCCGCCAAGCCGUGCGCCUCCUUCUCCGUGGCCGACCGCAGUGCCGCUCCACCGCUUUAGCGCCGCCUCCGCCGGGCCCUCCGCCGAGCUUUCCCUCCGAACGCCGCCUUCCCCAAGCAGACCGCCCGCAGCGCUUCUUCGUGCCCUCCGAGCACGCCGCCAUCGAACCACCGAGCCGCCCCACCUCUGUGCUUCUUUCUCGGCGCCGAGAUCCAUCCCCCUGCCUCUGCUCCGCUGCCUCGCCGCUUCUCGCCGCUUCCGCUCUCGCCCCAACCCGCGUCCGGNNNNNNNNNNNNNNNNNNNNAUUGCUCCUCAACAUUCGCAGACUACGGCAGAAGUGUGGCACCCUUGAGGCCACACACACCAACCAAAAAACAUAUGGUGCGGUGGAUUGGAUUACCUUUUAUGCAGCCCACCACUCCGAAGGCUUCGUUUGGCUGGAGCGUGCCAGAGUGCCGGAUUAUUUAUCUAAUUCGUUGUUUUCUAAUUUAGUUGGCCGCAUCCACACCCGUAGGGUGUAAACUGAUGUUGUACCAAAAAAAAGAAAAAAAAAAGGAUAAUGGCCAUACCAGGACUGUAGAAUCUCUUGCCGCAAGGGCUACGAUGUCAGCGCAGGACACCGUAAGCGGGCAUUCCUUCUCCAAUGCAGACUUGAUCUCAUCGAUGACUUCGAACCCUCUUGCCGAAUUCCGGUUCGGGUUGGACCGCUUCUCGCUAAGGAAAGUCCCGGUGCUGUCCAGAAGAACGGAUGCAUCACAGCCCUGCAAAAGUUCAGCAGCCUCGAAAACCUUUAAGAAGCUAUUUGCUACGAACAAGAGAACUAAGACUAGUUUGGUCAUAGUAUUCAUGGUCAUUCUGAAAAAAAAGUAAGGGGAAGUUGAGGGAUAUGAACCAUUAUAUGAUUAAUAUACACCGAAGAGAUGCAGUUAAGAGCAAUAGUGACCACAAUACUGUAAUGAAUCUGGUGUAAUUUUCUUCCUUGAAAAAAUGGAUUAGAAGAACCACCUUGACAAAGCAGUCAUGGAAGUGAAGCCGAAGCAGAGAAGCAGCCAUUCGUGCUUCCUUUGCAACAGCUUUGGCAACGACAGAUCUCACAAUCUCUUGCGCUUUCGGGCAUGAAUGGUCGUAAAACUGUGGGUAGAGGUGUCCGUCUGGAUGAGGAAAUGCAAAACAGAGAGAGGAGAGAGCAAGAACAGAAAAAAAGACGAGGAACCUCAUAGAGGGAGCCAUCUCUCUCUGCACUUCUCUUGUAGGAAAGGCAACAAGCUAGUUUUAGAAGGAAUGGAGACUCGGAAGGGAGAAAACUGCGAAAAAGGCUUAUGUUUUGUGACAAAAGAGGAGGUCUUCUUUGAGUAUAUAUAGACAGAAAAUAUGAUACCUCGAGGAACAUACGGGAGUGCAGGGAAUAAAGAAGUGUUGAGAGUUGGUAGGCUUUAUUUAGCUUCUCCCUCCCACUCCGUGAUCAUCAUUUGUAGAGUAAGUAGUACCUAAACAACCUUUGGCUUCAUGGCAAUAAUAUAUGAAUGGGAAGUAACUAAAUUGCCCUUACUUGGACCAAGGAAUCUAGUAAGGACCAUCACUUCUCUAUGCUUUCGUCUUUGGAUCAUUGCUUAGCUGCCAUUAUAAGAAUGCUUAUAAUUGUUUACUAUCCACCAGCUAUACAACACAAAUAUUUUAUUUGAAGGGAUAUAUAUAUUGCAGAUAUGUAAUGGAAUAUUAAUAAUAAAUAUUAAAUAUAAUUAUAGAAACAAUGAGAAUAAUAAAUAAGAACUCUUGUAACCCUGCUAUAACAAUCAUAAUGUGGAUAUACGUGUAUUCAAAAUUAUCUAUAGGCACACUAUGUAAAAGAAUACAUAUAUAAAACGAGAAUAUAGCAUGUGUGACACGUAUAUUUUAUUUUAUUUUUGUAAAAUAAUAAAUGUUUCUGCUGUAGUAAGGGAUGAUUAUAUUUUUUUAGGAACCUUUAACAACAAUUAUUUAAAUUAAAGAUGAUGAUAAAUGUUAUUGGAAAGGACUUUGACUCCUCGACCUUGUGGUUAAAAGCCGCGCUCUAAAAUUAUCCAGAUGGGAUAGGAGAAAUGCAAUAUAAGAAAAUGCAUUCAAGUUAUUCAUAGUAAAAUGUUUAUGCAUCUUAUAUCGAUUUUUAUGAAAUUAUGAUAGUAUUAAAACUUGCUCUACUUUAUUAAGCCUAGGUGUGGUCAGGAUUCAUUUUAUGGCUGGUGGUUUAAACAAAAGCAUUCAAGUGCUGGAGUGGUGUCAUGCUACCAUACUGAGGCCAUCCUCUUUUUAGGAGCAUGUCAAUUGUUGUGGAAAUUACCAUGCAAAAAUAAGCAGAAAAGAAAAGUCACUCAAACAAAACUCAGGUUUUUUAAGCAUUUACAUUGCUUUAUUUGUGACACAUUUCACAAGGAGCAAUGGCAUUGCAUUGCAACGUAGAAGCUAAGUAAUUUUUUGAGUGUGAAUUCUAAGUUAUUAAAGCGAAAAGUAGAGAGGAGCAAUGGUGAUUUCUCACAUGAUGAAGGAGAGUCCUCCAACCCUCGGAAUUUGGAUAAGUAGCAGACAUAAACUCACCCUCAACCAAAUAGUUGAAGCUACUUAUGAUUGCAAAUUGAGUUCUAAAAGGCUCAUUUUGGAGGUCAAGUUGCCGUCUCUGCAGAGUUGUCCAACCUUAACCUGAAUUAGUCCGCUGCAACCGCCUUGUCCAUAACUCAGCACACCAUUUCCAUUGGAAGCUCAUCGAUGUGUGGCUAGAAGAAGAUAAAUCUGAAGGUCAGGUCACUUAGCAACAUGGUUUGCAACUAUUUAUCCACAUCAUCAAUGCUAUUGAUGUUUGUAAAAGGUUUCUUUCACCAUCAGUUAGAACCUCGAAACAUGAUUUGUUUAUCGAUAUCCAUGUCGCGUAUGCAUUUUGAAUGUUCCAUUGAAGACAUUAGACAGGUUUCGGACCUUCCGUCAUCAUAUAUCAAAUUUUGGAAAAGGUGAACCUUUACCAUUAAUUCAGUUUUGCAUUAGAACUUUGGCUUCAAAGAUAUCAAGAUGUCAAAAUAUACAAAAAGAUAUCAAGCAACAUGAAGCUAAAGGAGUUCAAUUAAGCUACUGUUGCACGCAAAGCUGAGUGUCUCAGACUGUAGCUGGACCAUUAAUUCAUGAGUACUGGGUUGUUUUUUGGUUCCAAAUUAUAUGCAGCCGGAACGGAUUCAUUCUACGUACGGUAGACAUUUUUCAAACACAAUAACAUCCCCAUUUUUAUUUUCUAUGGAUGUUUCCAAUAGAUUGGUGGACUCUAAGCCCUCUGUUCACUUAAAAAAAAAAAUCAUGGGACCAACUGAUUUCAGGAGAUUAGAACGAGCAUUCUAGUAAUUUAGUAUUUCUAUGUUUUUCAAAAAAGAGUUUUUUUUUUUACUUAAAAGGUAGAGGUAUAAUUAAAUCACCUGUGAAAGAAAGAGAAGGUGGAAGAAACACAUCCUUUUUUUUUAUUUCGUAAUCAAAAUAUUAUAUCCUUGACAGGACCAGAGGGUUUUGGUGAUAAUUAGGUUCAGCUAGAGUUCCAUGAAAAGACACAAAAGCUUCUGUUCAAGACCAAAUUAAAGUGGGAACAGUGGCACCUGCCACUUUAACUCUUGCUUUCCCUUUUGCUUUUGAAGCCUAGAUAUUAUUUUUUUUCUCUCUCUCUCUCUCUCUCUUAAUUGUUAGUGUUAUAACUCUUAAGUGUUAGAAAUAUUUGUGCCUAAAUGGUUCCAGGAGCCAUAGAUGGGGACUGAGUGUGUUCUAAAGUUGUAGUUGGGGGACCAGCCUUGUUUAAUCUUGUCAAUAUUAAAUAAAAGCCUAGCCUCUGAUGUGAUGAUGUCCGUCCCCCAUACAUGGUUGGUGGAUAAGCAUGAUUAAAAGCAAAGCAUGCAACAGUGCAAGCUUGUGUCUUGAAAUAUAUUUAUUAAUUUAAAAGUCUGAAAUAUGAUAGAAUAUGUGGCACCAAAAUGAUUUGCAGUAAGUUCCACAUACGUCCAUACUUUUUUCUCUCUGUCAUUUAUCAACUUAUCAUAACCACAGCAAUAAAAAAGACAUAUCAGCAAACCAACAUAACGACACAUUAAAUGCAAUCAAGAGUGAUCAAUUCCAUCAAUUUACCAUGAUGCAUCAUCUAAAUGAGUAUGCAUGCAUAUAGAUGAUCGGCCGGCCACAAAGAAAAACAUGCAAACCAUAUUUUCAUAUGCAUAAUAAACAGUUUAGUAAGGAACAAGGAUUUAAGCAGAAAUUAUCUCAAAAUGGACUUGGUGAGAACAUGAAAAUAUAAUAAAUGGUGACGAGUAGGCUAAAUCCUACUCAUGCUAUGAAGGACGAAUGCUAUCAUGUAAUACAUCAUCAAGAAAAAAGGCCCAAGUUAAUAAUUUCUUAGUUCAAUUAUAUAGGUGUAUGUACAAGUAGCUCAUUGGCCUUAGGCCAAAGACUUUAUAUCACUCAAUUAGGGGUGAAAACAAGCCAAGCAACUCAGUGCUGCUCGAGUUCACCUAGAUCUAAGUUUGACUUGACUCGAAUAUUAUCGAACAAAAUAGAAAGCUUGCAAACCUAGUCAAAUUAAAUUUAAUAUUUUAAAAUAGAAUAUUAUAUUAUGUUUUAUUUUAAUAAUAGUUUUUAAUUAUGACCAAAAUUCGAAUUUAAGCUCGAAUUCGAGUUCCAGUAUAGCUUGAUUAAUAUUUGAGCUGAGUCAAGUUGAUGUAAGAUAUUAUUUUUUUAAUUUUGUGAUCGUAUUGAAAUCAAGUUUGGAUAUUAAUAUUUGAUUGAUCUCAAGUUAAACUUUAAGUCUGAAUAUUUUAAAUGGAGUUGUGCUUAAGUAGCCAGCUAUUUGGCCCAACUCAACUUUCGCCGUUACAGCAUUGGACCCGAAAGUAACGGGCCUGCCUCCCGGCUUCGUCCUGUAAAUGGCUUAACCCAGAAGUAGCCCGGGGUGCGACGAUACGGCUGUUGGGCGGCUUAUAUAUGCACACCGGAUCCACUGGCUGGCACUUAAAAACCAGUGCGAUUGGGCGUCUCCUGCCCGGCCGAAACCUAAAAACCCCGACGGACGUGACGUCGGAAUCUAAUCGAAGAUGAGCGAGGGUGAGGACGCCGCCCGACGCCGGAGCGCCGUCAACGACUACCGGAAGAAGCUCCUCCAGCACAAGGAGCUUGAUUCCAGGCUUCGUACAGGUGCCUCCUCUCCUUCCCUCUCUCCAAUCACGCUCUUCAAUCCACCGCUCUCUUCUUUCUUUCCUUCCCUUUUCUUUUUUGGUCCCGAGAAAUGGGUAUGUGGAUUCUGGAUUUCAAUUUAGGGUUUGGCUGUUGUUUUCAUUUGUUGUCUUUUCUCUCCGCAUCUUUCAAUCGUGAAGGGAUUGAAAGUUGAGAUGGGGGAUCUUGUUUGUGAUGGGAUGGGGGCUUGGAUUUGUUGUAGGUUUUAUUGAAAGGCAAGGUAUGAAGAAAAAUUAUGCAUGAGAGAUGGAGAUGGUUGUUUGGAAUUUGUAGGAGCAAGGGUGUUUCGGUAUAAACCAAAAAAGUUUGGGAAGUAUGGACACAGGGUUCUUUCCUGGUUUAUUGAUACAUAUAGAGUGGUUGUUGCCGGGCAUUAGUUUGAUGUUCUUGUGGACAGAAAAUACGGUUACAUUUGGUCUGAUAUUUUGAAGGACCCAAGUUUAUAGGUUUCCAAUUUCUUUCGUCUAGGAAUAUCAAAGAAACGCUUUGCCCAAUUGCAACCAUGUUAAAAUUGCAGCGGAUGAUAAUGGAAGUAAGGAAAGCAUAUAUGCCGUAAAAAAUGGAAGUAUAUUUAAUUAAAAAAUGCGAUUAAAGAAGGUCUGUUAGUAAAAGGAAAGUAAUUGUGUUAGGUGAAGGAAAAUCUUGAUUUUUAAUGAUAUCAACAACAUUAUCAGAGAUAAGAGGUGAAUAUCUUUGCAUAGGAGAAUCCUAAUAGAAAGACUUAAGUUGGGAUUUAUGAAUUUAAGUAGGGCAAAGGAAAUGAUGUGGAUGGUGGUGUAAAAGGUCAAGGGUGGAAUGGGUAAGGUAAGGACUAAAGCAUUUUGCCUUUUCUUUAAUUUUUAAUAAAAAUGUCAUUUUUCUUUAUAUACAUUCUGAUGAAAGAUGGCGCUAUGAUUUCGUUAAGAAAAUUUAGUCCUCUUUCACUAAAAUGGUUGGAACUGUUGUAGGAGGUUAUACCCUUUUCAAAUAUAAGAUUGUUCCACACUAAUAGAAACAUUGAUCAUAUUCUUUUUUAGUGACUUAUCCAUAUGAACUUUAUUAGAUUGUUGGCUGGUGUUUUGUAUUAAUUUUAUAGGAUUCAAUUAGGUCUCUAUAAAGAUUCAUUGCGAAUUAUAGAUCAUACCUAGAGAAAAUGAUAUAGAACUUUAACAGUUAUAUGUUAUAUUCAUAUUGUUUGUCAUCCUAGAUGUGAAGUCAAGCGGACGCUGUUGUCUCUUUUCUCUUCUUUCUAUCUUUUGUUCUUUCUUCUCUUUCUUAUUACAGAGAAAGGUUCAGAGAUGCUUCAUACAAAGUUUUGCAUUACUACAAAGCAAAAUCAUUUUGUCAAUCAAGUUUCCUUAGUGAUUGAGAUAAUUAGCACAUCAAUUUGCCGAAUGACAGUCAUUGUAUUAGUUCUUGUGUGUUAAUUGAAAAGUUGAAGCUGAAGGUGGAUUUUUUAAUUUCAAUUAACCAAAAUAGUUUUAAGGGCCUUCACUAAUGUCAACUUCUUGAUGGCUGUGAAUGAAUAGAUGGUUGCCUAGGUGAGGUACACCUAGGUAUUCCUAUAAAGUUGAUCAAUAAAAUAAAAGCUAUGGCAAUGCGACCUUAAAUUUUAUGUGAUGAAGAAUAUGAUAUUUGAGGGCGGGUCUUGGUGCAACAGUAAGGUUGCUUUAUUGCGACCUGGAUGCCAUGGGUUGAAAGUGACCCUCCCCAGACCGUAUUGUGGCAACCUCAUGCACUGGGAUACGCUUUUUGAAGAAUAUGACAUUUAAGAGUUAUGCUGCAAAGUGCAUGACAGCCAUGAAUUGCAAAUAUCUUCAAGGAUGUAUUACAAUAGUAAGGGAUAAAGGGAAUAGAAAAACUGUUUCUCUUUAUGUUUCUCAUCGCAAUCAAAGUGUCUAACAAAACUUUCUGGAAUGAGUAGAUGUCAUAAGUCAUUAGAAUUUUUUUUCCUAUCUUGCAUUUGCAUUAUGUUGCAAAUGCUUAGGAGGAUGAUUGUGAAAAACCGAGGAUGAUUUUGACAAAACGUGGUCCAUUUUUAUAUGUUUUAUGUCAAUUUUGAACUUUAAAAUUAAAUUCUAUUUAGGUUCUCUUGCUGGAUCCAUAUAGAAAGGUUGAUAUGCUGGAUAGCGAAUUGCAUGGUUAUCUUAAUGCUUACUUGAUAUUUGUGGCUUUCACUAUUAUUGGGGCAUGCUAAAAGAUAUGAUGGGGCCCAUGUUACAUAAAUAAGGUCUCAUUGCUUAGGCUAGAAAACUAACAUUUUUAUUAGGAGGAAGGAAUUGUCUAGUUAAAGUUGUUUUGUCAAAAUUGAUAGUGUUUUUUUUAUUUUGUCAGAUUGUCACAUUAUCACUUUUAUGAAGAUUCCUUGAUCAUAUGAUAAAAUUGAACAGUGAAUUUGAUGAGUUGCUUACCAUAUUAAAAAGGAUCAUUAUAUAAAAAAGGGAAAAAAACCCUAUAAAGUGGAAAAGAAAGACAUAUCCUAGCAAUCUGAACGCUUAAGUUUAUUAUCAAAAUGCCAUUUCAUUGAAGGAUGAUUUGAUGAACACGUGCUGGGUAUGCAGAAUAACGACAAAGACAAAAAAAAGAAGGAAAAAGGAUUUUGAUAACAUGCAUCAAAGAGUGAGCGAAUUAGAUAAAAGUAAAUAAAAAGGGGACUGAAGCGCUCACAAAUGUCAUUUGAUAAAUUGGAGGAAAAACUCCUGAAAAAUGUGCUGUAAGUUUAUUAUGACAUAUGUUUUUAGCAUGGAUACAAGUAUCAAUGUCGUACUAGUCCAUAUUAGCCAUAUCCGAUUGUAUGGACACAUCGUUUUACCUCUAUUUUGCUGUUCUGAGACCAAGAGGCAUAUCGUAUACUAAUAUGUCACUGUAUUAUAUCAAUCUGUAUCAUACCAGUAAGGUAUUAAUGUCGAUAUUGGUUUUGGUACUUUAAACCUUGGUCUUUAGUAUAAUUUUGAGAAAGAAAUACACGGGAUAAAAAAAAUCAAGAAUAUGUUUUAACUCAUUGAUACGUUGUCAAAUUCUUAAUUGAUACCAAAGUUAGAAACCUCAUCUGUAUUGUACAGGCUUGACCCCAUAUCAUGUGCUGCAUCGACCCAUAUCAACACAGGGGUACUGUCUAGUUUCACAAACCAUGAGCACAUAUAGGUAUAUACCAUAUCUAAUGCCAUGUAGACACAUGAAUAAUAUGAGGUCAAUGUGCGAGAUUACAAGCGUUGUUCGACAUUCCCCUGUCUUAGUGGGUUUGUCACGAUACUUAUGUUGAAACCUAACAUUUAAGAAAGAUAGAACUAUUUCCAUAUUAUUGGCUUCCUUAUUUCCUACUUCAGCAUUUCUCCUUGGAAUUCAGAUGGAUAGAUGGUGAAAGGUCCACUUUGACUAUGAAAGCAUCGAAGAGAAAUAUGACAAGAACCUCUCUUGAUCCAUAUUUACCAUCUUUUGCAUUAAUCCCUAAAGUUACAGGACCCGAUUGGGUGAGAAUAGUGCUGGUGUAUUGCAUAAAUCUCUUUAAUUUCAUAAGACUUCUAAAUCUGACACUACCUAAAGCAACUGUUGAGGAUGAGUCCUCGCUAACCUCUAACGAGUCACAAAUUACACUAAGUUCUACAACUCAAACUAUAUUUGAGCAAAUCUCUCACUUGCAACUAACUGUAUUUUCAGUUUGUGGCUUAGGCUGUGUUUGGAUGUACAUAAAAAUCAUAAUAUUUUGUGGUUUUAGAAACAACAUUUAUUGGUUUAGAAUUUUGUGCAUAUGGUUGUGUUUUAGAAAUCCAUAAUUUCCUUUAAAUUCUAUCAUCUUAUGUUACAUGGACAACCGCAUCCACCUCAAAGAACCCAUGUUAGAUACCUAUUGCGACUUGGAUACUAUUAGACACUAAGAUACUUAUCAAGUUCUUCAGUUAGAGAUUGGGGGAGAUCUUCGAACAAUGACUUGUAACAUACUACAAUCAGAACAAAGUGGAGGGCGAGGCCGGGGGGGUGGGGGCUUUUGUUCUUUUUAGAGGUUAGUGAAUGAUAUUGGUACUAAAAUAACUUCAUGAAAUGUCAUCUUCUAUUUAUUCUUACGCUAAUUUGGGAGUUUAAAUAAGAAAAAUGUAUAUUGCAAGACCUUAAUAAAUGAUAUAUUUAGCAUUUCUUUUAUACAAUAUUAUAAUAUAUAUAUAUGUGUGUGUGUGUGUGUACAUAUUUUUGUCAAAAUUAUUUCUUUUCCAUUAUGUUGUCAUUAUCUCAUCUUUUUUCUCUUAUCGAGUUAGGAAUUUGGAUGCGUCCAAUUCCGAUUCUCACAUCUAUGUCUAUCCAGCGUUGCUUAAAUCAUGGAAUUUAAAGUUUCUACUUUUAGUAGAAUUUUCUGAGGUCAUGAUUUUCUCCUCUUUAUCAGCUUAUAACUUUCCAUUUUAGAUACUUUCCUUUUUGGCAACCAAAACAUCUUCCGCAAAAAAUCUCUACCUUUAAAAUCAGAAAUUUUGAAUCAGGAAGUGAUUAAAUUAAUAUUUUAAAAUUUGAACCUCCAAACUAAGCAUUCAUGAUAGAAACUUGCUUGUUGCGCCGCUUGCAUGAUAAAAGUAUGGUACGUCAUACCGGCCAGUACGGGACAUACCGUACCGGUUCGGUACUGGUGGUGUAUGAAUAUUCGGUAUGCCAAAAAAAAUUCUGCACCGUACCGUACUAACACUAAACUAGUAUGGCACUGGUACGGGGUUCGGUACUGAGACGACAAACUUUGGAUAAAAGAGUGAGAAUUCACCUGAGCUAACUCAUGAGGAAUCAAAGCACUUCCAUUUUGUAAAGUUGGUGUCAGAUCAAGCACCUAGGAGUAGUUGGUUGAUUACACUUAAAUGAUCUGUAAUGACCAAAUGACAUAAUGGGAUCUGUACUUACACUACAACCAAUAUAAAGCAUCAUAUGAGAUCAUUUUGCCAUUUAUGGUAUAAUUUCCAAUUUUAGUGUACUAUAUAAAUGUGUUUAAAAUCUUAUUAUUUAUUAAAAACAUGGUAUUUUGCUACCUUGCUUUUAGCAACUACCAAUAAAUGAAGACUGCUAUUAAUUUUGCUAUAAUUACUUAUUGUUUUCUAUUAUAAAGGUUAAUAGUGACGGUUUCAACUUAAUAAUUGAAUAAUUUGAAAUAGGUUUCAAUUUUUUAGCAAAUAACAGUCUGUUACAGCAUUAUAAUGGUGAAUAUUGGUUUUGGGCCAUGGUUGUUAUGUUAGCUGAAAGCACAGUAAUUAAAUAAUGUAAAAUUUUAAUUUUAUUUUGUUAUCGAAAAGGAUUUGCGCUUGCCCCCAGCACUUCAUCCUUCUUGCCUAGAGGUGGCAAACCACCCAAUGAUGUUCAUUACAUGUAGAGAUUAUCUUGGUGCUCAUUAGAAUGCGAUUUCAGUACAAAUAUUAAAACAUUUUACAGUGGAGCUGAUAGUAUCAGUAGGAAUUUGGCCUGACAAAGAAUGAUAGAACAGAAAAUGUAAUAUCUGCCAAGUGUCCUUGCUGGUCAAAGAGGCAAGGUUCCAGCUUAUUCAAACCGAGUUGGAGAACUUUAAAUUUUAUUUUUAUUUAAGACAAGCUAGAUGAAGCAUCAUUUUAUUUUUUGCUUGUAAAGCCUUCGAUAAGGUGGUGCAAACUGUGAAGCUAUGUAGAAGCCAAAGAAACUAUGUUAGUUUGCCUAAAAUUUUUGGUUGUACUAUGCUAAUCUUUUAUAAGCUCCAAGAUGGUUUAGCAACGGAAUAUAUAAGAGAAAAAUGACAUUCUUCUGGAAGGGCAAAUAACUUGUCAUUGGAUUCAACUGCUUAUUGAAUUGGAGGAGUGUUUGCAAAUCUAAAGAGGAUGGAGCUUUAGGUAUCAAAAUGUUGAGGACCUAAACUCGGCUUUGCUUUCUAGUUGGGCAUGGUAGUAUUUAACUCGGGAGGAAGCUACUUGGUGCAAGUUGGUGAGCUCAGUUUACUACUCAAGAAGAAAGCUAGGCCUCAGAAGCCCUUGAAGGACACAGGUUCCUCAGCAAUAGGGAAGGAUAGCAACAACAACCUUAUAUCUUUCUGGCCAACCUCUUGCCUUGGAGAGGUGUGCUUUUGGGAGGAUGAAUGGCUGGGUAAUACUUCCAAGCCUCUAUGCUUCAGUUACCAAAAGCAAUGUGUCAGUAGCAUCUCCAUGAGGAUCAGGGAGGUAAAAUGGCGUGUUAAUGUUCCUAGGCCUCUGAAUUUCAAUGAAGAUCAAUAACUUAGGAGUUGCUUGAAUUGCUUUCAACUAUCAGCCCUUCUAGAACUAAGGACAAGCCUAUAUGGAAAAUGACAAGAGACAAAUGCUUCUCCUUAGCCUUAUUUUAUAAAUUCAUCAACACAGGAAGCUUGCAUGGUUCUUACUACAAUGCACUAUGGAGAUUGGCUGUUCUGGAAAAUGUCAGAAUCUUCAUGUGGCUUGCCAUGCAUAACAGACUCCACACCAAGGAGCUGCUGGCUAGGAAAGGUUGGUUGGUGGACCAAAGUUGAGCAUGUGUUGUCCUAAUGCUGAAUGUGUUGACCAUCUAUUCUUGCACUGCUCCUUUGCCAAGAGGAUUUGGCACACCCUGAAAGCUUGACUUCAAGUCAGUGGUUGUCCCUCUACUGUGCUGUGAGCUUGGACUCGUUGGAGAAGAAAGAGAGUUUGUCAAUCGAAGAGGAAUUGAUGGGACCAGCAAUCUUAGCUGUUUGUUGGCAGCUAUAUAUUCUAUGCAAUGCUAGAGCCUUCCACAAUAAACACUCUUCUCUUAAUGCAGUCCUUGAUGCCACGUUGAGGCCCUUCAAGUCUUGGGGGUGUCUUUGUAUUGGGAUGAAAAUGGAUAGUUACACAGAAGGUUUAAUAUGUGUAACUAACUGCCAUGUAAUCUAUUUCUUAUCUCUCAUUAUAAUUAAUAAAUUGAUGGUCUUACAUCCUCAUUUCUUCUCAAAAAAGAUUUUUUAUACCAAAAUAUUAUCAUGCAAGUUUAUGUAAUUCUUUUUUUUCUGGUACUUUGAGUAAUUAUUGCUGAUAUUGAAUUAGUUCUAUUUUGCUUUUCUUGUUUUGUAUUGCCGACUGGUUCAUGGUCUGAAAUAACUAAUAAAUUCUUUUUAUCUUGAUUUUUUGUGACUAUAAAUGAUGUGGUGGAAACUGGAAAUGCAGUGAGGGAGAACCUGAGGGCUUCAAAGAAGGAGUUUGCCAAAACUGAAGAUGACCUGAAGUCCCUCCAAAGUGUAGGGCAAAUUAUAGGAGAGGUUCUUCGGCCACUUGACAAUGAGCGCCGUAAGUGAACUGCACUCUUUUGUAACUAUGGAGAUGUUUCUUUCUGUUUUGGUUGUUCCUAUGAAUUCAUUUACCAUUGGCCAUUGUCUAACUGAUGUUUGAUUUAGUUAGGACUUGGGAUAAAGGGGGCUAAGAUAUGAAGUCGAACCAGUAUCUUGGCUGUACCCCCAGUCUUGUUCCUUGAACCUGUUUGAAAUUAAUAUAUUUAGAUGUCCUCCGUCAAAUCUGGUUCCUGUGGCUCUCCUCAUUCCCAUUUCUAUUCUCUAAGGAUCAGGGCAACAGGUGUUCCAAUGAUAAUGCUUUAACUACUGCAAUAGAUCAUAGGAUGUUUUGCUUUUAUUAAUCCAUUUAACAGCAGUAAGAUGCUCUGAUUUAUCAGAAAAUUUAGGACUAUAUCUGAGUCCGCAUAGUGUUAUGACUGCUGAUAUCAAAUCAAAUUACACUACUCUAUGGUGAUAGAACACUUAAUACAGGUUGUGAUAAUUGUCUCCUCACAGAUUGUAGUUUAUUGCACUUAACUUAUUCGAUGGAUAUAACAUUUGCUUCUCACUCUGAUCAAAUAAUGCAAUCAGUGUGCCAGUUUUGCAUGUGCUUGAUGCCAAGAACCACUUUGGUUGAACAUUCCUACUAAGCCGAUUAUUAUCCGCCUUUGAAGACUCUGGCAGAAGGCAUAUGCAGUGGUUUACAGAAAAGUUAAUACCUUGGAUUUGUGUGAACAUUCAGUUUCCAGCCACUGAUUUUUGCAUUGUAAUGGUUAAAUUUGGUGGUGAUGGACAUUCAACUCAUUAAGACGCUAGCUAGUUCUCUUUAAGGUAUGUAGUUUUAUGUUGCUUGUGAUGGCAAACUUAUGAUGACUUAAGGAAGCUUUAAAAAAGAAAAUUUUUGCAGUUGUUAGACUUUAAACAAAAAUCUGUCCAGUUGGAAAAGUAGUAGAGUGGUCAAGUAUCUUUAUAUGUUAAUUUACCGAAGCUCCAAGUUCCAUUCUUUAAUAUACCUUGCUACUUUCACUUGCAUAUCUUUUUUCCCCCUAGCACCUAAUGGUUUGGCUUCCAUCAAGGUUUUAUCUUGCUGUCUAAAAUUCUCUUUACCUGGAGAUUGAAAUUGUGAAGUACCAGCUAUUUAACAGAUAACUUAUUUUUACACCAGUAAUUGUUAAAGCAAGUAGUGGGCCAAGGUAUGUUGUUGGUUGCCGCAGUAAGGUGGACAAAGAGAAGCUGACAGCUGGAACCCGUGUGGUUCUUGACAUGACAACCCUCACCAUCAUGCGAGCACUACCACGAGAGGUACUGAAUGGUCAUUGUGUAUUGUUGCAUGGAGGGGCACUGAUCUAACAUAUAUAUUUAAUGGGCUCCAUUCUAUUCUUUAAUUUCCUGAAUUAUGUAAAAACAAAUGCUGAGAAUUUAAUUGCCAAUGUUCUAUCUUGGGUUCCAGGUUGAUCCGGUUGUGUACAACAUGCUUCAUGAAGAUCCUGGCAAUGUUAGCUACUCUGCUGUUGGUGGGUUAUCUGACCAGAUCAGGGAACUCAGAGAAUCCAUUGAGCUCCCACUCAUGAAUCCUGAGCUCUUCCUCAGAGUGGGAAUUAAACCCCCAAAGGUAGUUACGAGCUCAUUGUUGGAUUCUUUAAUGUAUAACUCUAUGAUGAGUUAGAAUUGUUCUUUUAUAAUUACUACAAAGAAUUUUAAGCAGUCUUUCCAGCAAAACCUAUCUUUUGAGUAAAUUGAGGUUUAAACAGUAUAAUUCAUUGUGUCAUAUGAGUUGGUGGGGAAUUGAUUUUUUUGAUUUCAGGGUGUCCUUCUGUAUGGCCCUCCUGGAACGGGGAAGACAUUACUUGCAAGAGCGAUUGCUAGUAACAUUGAUGCCAACUUUCUCAAGGUUAGUGUUAUCUAAAAUAACCUGACCCAGCCCUUUUAUAUGUGUUUUAAUUUUUUUAUAUUUAUCUGUCUAGGUUGUAUCAAGUGCUAUAAUCGACAAAUAUAUAGGUGAAAGUGCAAGAUUAAUCCGAGAAAUGUUUGGUUAUGCUCGCGAUCAUCAAGUAAGGACUCAGAGAUCCUGGGAUUUUUUUUCUUGGGUUUUUUCUUGUUAAAUUGACAUUAUCUCAGCAUCCCUUUUUAUAAAAGCAUUUGAUACACUCAAUAUGCUAUGGCUAGUUCUCAAAUUUUACUUUUUAUCUCCUAAAUGGUUUGUCUCAUGUAAAUGGUUGGGCCUCUCUUCUAUAGCCUUGCAUAAUUUUCAUGGAUGAAAUCGAUGCCAUUGGUGGGCGUCGAUUUAGUGAAGGGACCAGUGCCGAUCGUGAGAUCCAGCGAACACUAAUGGAACUGCUCAACCAACUUGAUGGGUUUGAUCAGCUUGGGAAGGUGAGUUUCUUUUCCCUAAACUUAGUUUGAAAUUGUUGCUACCUAAGAGUAUUUAUCAGGGUGUUGUCUUCUGAAAAUAGUGAUUGAUUAUGAGGUAGUUACAGAUGGCAAUAUUGAGAAGGCUAAAAUAUGGGUUAGCUGAUAUAGUUUCUACUGUGCUAAAUUCUUCUUAGAUCCAAUAUUAUCUAGACGUUUUCUUUUUCUUAUCUUCGCAGCUAUAUACAUAAUACAGGAAAAUAUUUAUCAAACAGCUGACUAUGCUUAUUUUUUGUCUACUGAUUUCUGAGUAAUAUAUGUGAAGGCAUGGCAUUGAUGCCAAACAUAAGUAAUAGAACUAUAAAAGUUAUGCUUAUGUUCUGGUUUUGGUGAUGAUGAAUGGUUGAUUUCUUUUUUCUUUUUCCAAGUAAUUUCUAGGAACAGUUCGUGUAAAUUGGCAAGGACACCCAUGCCUCUGAAGAUCACUGCACAGUCUUUUUUCUUAUAGCUUUUAUAUGCUCAAUUAUAUGGUCAUAUUUGCUUCUUUCCUUUAGUCAUAGCAUUUAUUGCUAGAACUAGUACUUAAAAAAGUAAAAGAAAAUUGGUAUUUGCAUUAGCAGCGGUAAUUUCAUCAUUGAUGGUAGGAUUUAUGUGCAGAUUGUUUUUGAUCAUAACGAGUGUUUUACUGCUUGUGUUUAUGUUUGAUAUAUAAUGCUUAUGAAUAGUAUUAUAUUCAUUCUGUGCAAGGAGCAGCUGUAGGAAUAGGGAAGUAAAGCUUGCAAAAAUAGAGUAUUCUUUGGAUGCUGGUUCAACAGUUAUGAUAGUGGGUGCACCACCUUAAAUGGAAGAUGCUAACCUCCCCAAGGCACAAUCAAUGUGGGACUAGACACGUGCCCGCACGGGUUCUCAAAGGUUAGCCAUGUAAAAGUGUUCGAUGUUGGCCUAUAAUCAGAGGCGAAGCAUUCGCAAAAUCUAACUGUCAAAGACACUCUUCUGAGGAUUGGCUAGAUGAUCUGUCACCUUUUCUUGUUCUAUAUCCGUAAACCAAAAAUACAUCAGCCCUUGUGACUUUAAUAGCUUCAUUUUUGUCCCUUACCUUUUUUAUUGGAUUAAGUAGGGAUUUUAAUGAUCAAAGAAAGGUGAGAUUGCAAUAAAGACAGCCAUCAAUGAUGGAUUUACCCCAAAAAGGUCAAUAGAAUUACCAACAAAAGGAUAUCUCUCUUGACUGCUCAGUCAUCCCUAAAAUUAAGCUCAUUUACAGCGCACACAAUACCCCUCUAGGUCCACUUUGAAUGCGCCAAUAAUAAUAAAACCCCAAAACUGAUUCUUUUGUAUAUUUAUUUAUACAAAAUAAUAUGCUGUAGGACCUACUAGAUUAAAAGUCUAACCCUAUAAUUUUAUAUUCUGAAUUUCAGCAAAAUAAUUUACCAGAUUUUAAGAGCUGAAUCAUAUUAUCAGCAGAAAAUGAAUAAACAGAAAUUUUAUUUUGUAGAAAUCAAAUUAGAGAAUAUAAUAUAAAAAAUGCAUUAUUCAGUAAUUUAAUUUGCUGAAAUUUUUUGCACCAAAAUUAUAAUGCAGAAUUCUAUAUUUGCAAGUCACAGAAAUAUAAUGUAAAGAACUUAAAUGUUCAGAAGUUUAGUUGCUAUAAUUUACUGCAUAAGUACAGGAUGUCCAGUUCAGAUAUAUUAAUUUAGUGAAAUAAAAUAUAUAAAACAUAAUAAUGAGAUAUUCAGUUUGCUGUAACUUAUUUUACAGAUACUAAUAUGCAGAAUUUUCUUUUAUAAAAAUUUGGUUAUAGAAAUAUGGCAUACAGAAUUUUCAUAACAUAAUUCUAUUCUACAGAUUUAAAAACUAGAACCAAAUGAUCAGAAAAUUAUAUUGCAGAAAUCCAAAACAGAUUUUGUUUUUCAGGAAAUUUGUUUUGCAGAAUUUGUUUUAGAGAAAUUAAGUUCUUGAAAUAUAAUCUACAGAAAUUUAAUAUUCAUAAAUUUUAAAAUUAGGACAAAGCUUUCAGAAAAUUAAAACAGAUUUUAUAAUUUUUUCAGAAAUUACAUUAUGCAGAAAUCUAAAAAAUUGAAUAUUAUAUGCAUAAAAUUGGGUAAUGUCUUUAAUAAGAACCAAGAAAGAAUAAAUUUAGUCAUUAAAUUAUAUUGAAGAGAAACUACAAAAGUCUCAACUUUUUACCAUUUACUCUUGCCAAGUCUCAGGACUCCCUCACCACUAUCAAACUCUGUGCUAUGGACACACCCAGGCACUCAAGAUCAGGACUCCCUUGCUGCUCUCAAACUCCAUGCUAUGGACACUCACACUCAAGUGCUCAGGACAUGAGACAAAGCAAUGCUUUAUAUGUAUAUAUUGUCAUACUCACCAGGAUUCAUGUCCUUGUUGUACUAGAUAAUAAGCCAAUGUAUAGGCUCCAUAGUCCUCUCAAAGUCAAAGAAUGAAAUAACUCCGAAUUUAAUAGAAACUUGUAAGAGUCUUGAGUUCCCUACAACUUCAGUUACAAGUCCUGUACCUACCCGACCUCUUUAGGAACGUACCUAAACUAUGCUUGCAACCACUUUAUAAGUUAUCAUGUUCCUGUGAUAAAUACAGAUUCAAUUAGACCAUCAAUAUUAGGAUUCAAAAUACAUCAAAUAAGCAUAUUUGACUAAUCAUAAAAUGAUUAUGAAUCAAAUAUAUGACAUGGCACGUAGGCGCUCAUUCCUAGCUGAUUAAGGAUUAUCACCUCUCUUUCAUGUUAAAGCCUCUUUUUCUAUAAAAUCUUGGACUCUUAAUAAAUCUAACAAUUUAAACGCUACUAGGAUUUUAUCUUAAUGUAAUUUGGUAUUCAAGAAAAUAAAUUCUAAUCAUAUCUUAACUAGAAAAGUACUGCUAACAACAAGAGAGUUUGACACAACCAAACCAAGCCCAAUCCAAACAGUAACUAAGCCCAAAAUAAUUAAUUUUAGUUUUUCUUAAUAACGAAAGCAUGGGGCAUUACAAGGGCGCCAGUCCUAGUGUUGUGACUAGAGAAGUUGGGAAAUGGAUCAGGAGGGGAUAGAAGGUCCACCAUCCCGACUGUUGGGAGACAUGAGGCAUUCCGUUCUGUGGAAAAAUUGGGACGACCUUGUCCUGCAGUAUUUAGAACCAUGUUUAAAAUAGUCAUCAUGCCCUAGGUAAUAGAUUCAGCAUUAGGACUUCCUAACAUGGCAUCACGCAAGUCCUUUGGGUUUCUUUCUUGUUCUCAAUAACUCUUUUUUGGGGUGUGUACAAAAUAUACAAUAGAUCAGGGACAUCAGCCCAAGGUUCGCUGCACUGGUCGGUACCGAUCGGUACCGAGCGUACCGUACCCGUACCGAUGGGUACCGGUAUCGGUACACCAAUGUCGGUACGGUCGGUACCCAGCAUACCGUACCGUACCGACACUUGGUACGUCUAUACUAGUGCGGCAUCGAUACGGGGUUCGGUACCGGUACGGCGAACCUUGCAUCAGCCUAAGAUUGUCUCAUUUUCGAGAUAAUUCUUCUGUGAAAAUCUGUACACUAUAGUUACCAAAAAAAUUAACUGCCUUUUUGUUAGGUGGGAACCU
rnacentral:lncRNA from 1 species